UGCCGAGCGAGAGGAUGGUCUCCAGCAGCUCCAUUGAUUUCCUCUCCGUCUCCUCCACCGGCCUCCGACGCUCUCCGCUUCCCCCCGCUGCAGCACACAGAAUGGGCUUUAACAAAGACCUCAGCAGACACCCGCCGACCAUGACCGAUACCCAACCUCACUGCAGACCUCUUCGUCGAGCUGAAAGCCACCCCCCACCACAACCGGCGUUCUCCUCCUGCCUCUGACAUUUGACUCGACACGAAUUACUAAGGUCUAUCCAUUAUUUCUACUUUUGGUGUGUUGCUUUUUUUGUGUGCGCUCAAGCCUGGGCCUAUUAGGCUGCAGCUGAUUCCACUGCAAUAAAAUCCAGCUACAAACUCAAGAGACUCCACAGAAUAUAUAUAUAUGAAUGUUCUCAUUGCAGGGUGGUAAGAGGAACACAACAUUUUACCUUAUAUAAGAUUUUAAGGUCGAAAAAGGUCCUUGUGCGCUGAGUUGAGAUCAGGCCUCUUGCUUUUCAGGUAGGAAGAUACUAUAUAAAGCUACUUUUCAAAGAGUGAAUGCCUGUUAUUGUUGUUUGUGAUUGUGUACUUGAGGGUGACUUUCAUUCUGUAUUUCAUUUCCCCUGUGACCCAUGGAGUCAUGUAUUUUGAACAAAAAAAAGCAUUUUUCUUCUUCUGAGGGUAAUAAGUGGCUUUUGAGCAAAAAAAAAAAAAAAAAAACUCCCAUGUUUUUUUUUUAAAGUGGCAUUUCAAAAAGGUUCUCCAAACCAAAUGACCAGAUUGGUUUGCCACUUCCAACAUGACUCAGAGGGAUGUGUCAUAAACUAAAUCACUACUAAAUCAGUUUGAAUACACACUCCAAAUUGUGCAGCACCCAUGAGUAGUAAGACAGAGCUUUAUAAGCUGCAAAGAAGACAGUGUCUUCAAACAAAGUGCCUCGAUAAGAUAUGGGAAAGUACUUAAAUAUAACUCCAAGAGAAAGAAAUAGAGCUGUCAGCAUUAUGGUGUUAUCAUUCUGGGAUGAAGCUCAUUGUUAUGUUUUUAAAUUCAUGCUGGUUUGUUUCAGCUGAUCAGCCAAAAGUAUUAUGCACUUUGCAGCAAAAAGAUUGAAAAUCUCACAGAGGUACUCCGAUUUUGAGCUAAGUAUGCAGGUUGCCAUUGGUUCUGUUCUGGACAAGAAAGGAUGGCGAAGUCGAAACUCCGGUGUGGUGGUUUUUAUUCACACAAACUCCCCAAAAACAGCAAACUGUGGCAAAAUAUUUAGAGUCUAGGAUAACAACAGCAAAACAAGGCAAAUAAACAAAGUAUGAACAGCAGAAUCUCAGUAAAACUUACACUUGUACACUUAUAACCCACAAUGCCACAAGGUAAAGAGCUCCCCUUAGAGCACACCUGGGCAUUUUAUGGCCCGUGGGCCACAUUUGGCCCUUUUGAUGUCAUAUCAUCAACAUGCUAUACAAGUGUGUUGCUCUUAUUUUGAAAAACUAGUCAUUGCUUUAUUUCCGUUUGGACGCACAUAUGUACAUCCUAGAUCUGCGUUCGUGAACAGAGACAAGUUUAAUCAUUAGCAAAAUAUUCAUAGACACCUUAUAGUUGCCAAGUCCACUUAUUAUUAAAGACUUUAAGCUUGUUUCUUUUAGAAGUCGCGCAUAAAACUCGUGCGUUUUUUUGGGGCUUGUUUUUAACUAGUAGUUGCUUAUUUGCGGUUGCUUUUCUGAACCCCCCCGAUUUGAAGUUGAAGUUACUGUUGGUUUGGUGCUCCAACACAGUUCAGGUUUCUCAUGUGGCCCCAUGUAAAAAUUAAUUGCCCACCCCUGCCUUAUAGUGAGCAAGCAAAGUGCUUAUUAGGUACCCCUUAGCCCCUCCCCUCGGCCCACCCAUAAACAAAUUAUGGGGGUUUAAGAGACAAUAUGCAAAAUGCAACACAAAAGUCAUCAAUAAAUCAAACUUUUCAAUAUUGACAAAAAGGCACUAAUAGGCCUCCAUACAGCUGUGGCCUUACUCAUUGAAAACACAGGAAAUCAGACAAAAUAUCACAAAGGAACUAUGAUGGUUUGGUCCGGCGCGCCAACUCGCGCCAUUUACUGAGGGACCAGGAAGUGUCCCGGUUUGGUUUGGACUGGAUGAUGGCAGCAGGUAAGAGGGUGUGUGUGUGUAUCUGGCGUGUAGUAGUUGCGUGUGCACCUUUAAACACCUACAGCGGGGAGAAACGAGUCCAGGUAAAAGGGGAAACGGUUUUUUGGAGUGCAGGACCGCGAGACACAGGUGCGAGCCUGCAGGGAAACAAUAAAACAGUUUAACGGGGCUUGGCUCCGCCGGGAACACUCCCGGCACCGGCACUCUCAGGCCGCGAGAGAGAGACCCGCGCCAGUCGGGGGAUGACAGUGCGUUUUAAUGACGCUCCGUCACACAUGUGAUCUCCUAAAAAUGUUAAAACAAACACAACGAGCACUUUACAGCGGUAUCCUGCCUCAAAUGCAGUGUUUUAGACCACACUGGUGCAUAGUGUAGUGUCUAUUUUGAGACCAGAUCUUAAGGUAGAUAUAAAAUAUUGGUCACUUUAUGGGGAGAAGAUGUUGAGUUCCCCGGAGCAGGUUGAACGUUACAAAAAUUUUUUUAUCCAAACAUUAAGUAUUUGUAAAGAACAGUAUUUGUAGAAUGUGUACUGCGUUUCAUUGGUGCUGCCUCUAUCUAUCUAUCUAUCUAUCUAUCGAUCUAUCGAUCUAUCUAUCUCUGUAUGCUGUGAUGGCAUGGGUAACAGAUUGAUUGAUAUGUGUUGUUUUUCUGUGUACUGUAUUAGUAAUUAGGGUAAUUGAUUGACUGAUUGAUUAUUGACUGUUGUUUGAUUGAUUGAUUUUUAUGCUGCUGUGUACUGUAACAGUACAGGUAAUUGAUCCGUUGACAUAGGGCUGGACAAUAUUGGAAAAGAUUUAUCACAAUACAUUUUUUUCAUAUCAGUCAAUAUCGAUAUCACAAUGUAAAAAAAUGAAAUUUAACAGUGCUUAUUGGUGGCAUGUCUUUUGCAAUACAAUAAGCUGCUGCAUCUGUGGAGUCUGUGUGUCUCUAUGACAUUUUGUCAUAAGGCGUUGCGCUUGAGACAUGGCAGAAUGCCUGUUAGAAAGCCCAUGUUGUUUAGGUGUUUUCUAGUAAAUACUGUUCAGUCAUAUUGUGUUUUACAGUGAGUUUUCAUUUGUCCUAUGCCCAUGAAUGCACCACAGGCAUUCUUAUGUGAACAAGAAGAGAGAACGCCCUUUUCUCUUUUUUAAUGCGGACUACCGAAAAAGUAUAUUGACCAUGUUUUAUAUUUAUAUUGAGAAAAAUUAAUUUUCGAUGUAUAUCAUUAUUGUUUCAUCGCCCAUUAUUGUUUGCUGGUAUGGGUGACUGAUACUUGUUGCUGCUGUGUACUUGUCUUGCAUGUGUGAUGUGUGUCAUCUGGUGCGACAACUCAAUGUUUCUGUUCUUUUAUUUAUACACUGCAGACUAUUUGACAAAUUUCUCUACAAGGACAAUUAAAAGUAUCUGAAAUGAAAUGAAAUUUAUCGUGUUAGUUCAGGUACAUCAGCUGAUCCUAAUGGUAGCGCAUAUCGGCUAACACCUUAAUUGAGUACUUUUAAUAAUUCCGUUUAUCAAAAGUUCAAGUAGGUGCUUUGUUCAAACUGCCUCAGCCGCAUUAUCCUACCUGCCUCCGCUUUAAACUGCUUUGAAACCCGCCUCAGUUACAGCUCCUUCUUUUUAUGCUGUCUGAAUUUACUAGUGUAUUUGAUUCUGUACCACUGUGCUCUUUGCUGCUGCUCUUCCUGCCUCGGCUUUUCAUGCAUGUGCAUCAAACAGAGAGGGGGUGUGCUCUGACUGAUAAGUCUUCUACCUCGGUUGUUUUAUCUGUUGCAGUGUCUACAUUGGCUUUUUAUGAAUGAAAGGCAGGGGAGGUGCACAUUUUCCAAACUUAGAGAAAACUUGUAGAAUUUGAAGCAUCAGACAGUCGGUACAUGUUGUUGCAUUAGACUCCCUAAUCAAGAUUAUAAGUGAAAAACUGAACACUUUUUAUAUGGAUUUGAAACUAUUGUGAAAUGUAAAUAGCAUACUUCUGAAUCUGUGCAAGUAGUUGAAAUAAACUAUCAAAAUACACCAAUAAAUAAAUAAACUGUAAAAACAAACUUUUUUUUUAAUGUAUAAAAUUUAACUCUCUGCACACCAAAGGUAGCUAAAGGCCUGAAUUUCACAAUGAUUAGGAACAAUGUUAUGAUAAAUGGAAGUGGCUCUGAAACAGUACACAUACCGUAAGAUUUGUCUCCUCAUUAACCCCCUCCCCCUUUGUCUUUGUUCCAUAAAGAAAACAUGUCUCCAUUAUAAGAAAAAAGAAAAAAAACAUGUUGGCUGUUGUGUAUGAAUCAACAGCAAUUAGCCCACACCACGCCUUGGGUGGGCCAUCUGCUGCACCAGUAUCACACACAAACAGGUGGGCCCCCACCGCCUCGCUGAUCGCUGUGUCGAACACCACCACGACAGCGUAGUGAUUAAUAGGAGCUCCUAAAUAUCUUGCCGUGCAGAGAACGUACGGUGCACGUUUCACAAAGACAUACUUCUUCUUCCACAGCACACACUCAGGCCCACAUUUUUUAAUUAGUGAUUUUAACUGAAGUCAUAGUGCAGGCUAAUUGCUGGUAAUAAUGAUAUUCGAUUAGGGAAUCAAUUGGCUGUGGUGCCUUGACUGCUUUGAUGGAUGCAGCCUUGGGCAGCAGCUGUGAAAAGCUCACAUAGUGACGGUAAAAAGACAGAAGAGGAACAAAACGUCUGAACACAGAACAAAGACGGAAGAAAAACCUCUGCAGGGAAACAAUGAGUAACAAGGAACACUGGUGAGAGCUCAGGUAUGACUCGAAAUAUAGACUCACUAACUCUUUGCUGUCAAAGCCCGAAAGCUUUUUGAUAGAUUUCCAGAUCCUGAAAAACUUCCAUCUGUGCCACUGGCAUCGUCUUAACAGCAGCCAGAGUGUGAGUGUGAGUGCGUGUGUGUGCGAGUGUGUGUCAGUGUCAGUGUGUGAAGUCAGAGGAGCCAACAGUAUUGAACAGCCUGCAUCGAUUCCCAAUGUCAAGUCCAAACAGUGUACAAGAGUGGGCUUGUUGUCCACAUCUGUGUGUGUUCUCGUGUAAAAGAAUGUGUGUGUGUGUGAUUGUUGCAUGUUGGUGUGCACGUGGAGAGUGCUCAUAAUCUGCCUCUCAGAAGUUCAAUGAUCCAUUCUGGCUCCGCUCUGCAGCUUCAAAAUGUGGUUUUGUAAAAGUUUCCAGGAACAAAUUCGGCUUAGGGCUUAGGCUUGUUCAGAUUUUUCUUUCAUUUUUUCGAAUUUCCAUUGAAAUGUUUUGCGAAGAGAGAAAACAAUCUCUAACAGAACGAGGACCAAACUUUUCUAUUUGAAGAAGCAUCUGCUGAUUAAUUGUUUGAUUAACUGUCUUUUUUUUUGGUGUAUAAAAGGUAAGAUAGCAAAAUGCUCGUCAAAAGAGCCCACUUAACCGUCCCAAAUCCACCCAAAUACUCAAUUUACUAUUAUCAACAAAGAAAAGCAGAAACUCUUUACACUGAAGAGACAGAAAUCAGUUUGACAUUUCUGGUUAUAAUUGUGUUCUUGUAAUUAACAUCAGUAAUAAACUACAAUUUCAGCUGCAUGCGGCAAUAAAUGGGCCCUUGCAGCAGUUAUCUGGUCCUCUGAGCAUGAACCAAAAGUAUAAAGCUCUUACAGUUCUGCAGUUCCCCACUAAGUUGGGCCAUAAGGUUGAACAAGUAUUGAUGUUUAGGAAUCUUUAUGAUGGCACAUUAAUAAAGAUUAAAGGGAUAUUCCGGCAUAAAAUUAAUUUAGGGUCAAACGCACUGUAACACAGAGUUAGACACCCCCUCCAGAGAUGAAUGUUGCCGACAGCUUGCUUCUCUCGUUAUACCAACUUUAGUAACGAUAGCAAUACACAGCGGUCUGAGGAGCCAUAAACAAACCUCAACCAAAACACCACUGUAUAGCCACAAAUAAUGCUCAGAACAGCACCUAACUUCAUCAACAGUACAUAUAGGGUCCCAGCCACAGCACUAGCCAUCAAUCAUCUUUUUAGCUUUGCUUAAUUUGUUUAGCAAAGAGAUUAAACACAACUCACCUACUCUCUUCCAGCAGCCGCUUGUUUGUAGCGAGACCUCAGGCCAGUCUAUUACAGACAACAGCGGGGUGACGCAGCUCAAGGAAGAACAUUUAUGAUCAUUUCUUCAUGGAAAUGCAAUCAGACUAAGACGCAAAGGCAGAAGAACUACCGCGUCUGCAGUGCAACAUGAUUAAUAUGGUGAUUAUUACUUCAAGGAAAUGAUUAAGAAAGGCUUAUUAAGUAGCGUACAUGAGUAUUAAAACGACUUUUGUCCAAUAGAUGGCAUUCUUACUAUGACAGAAUAAAUAUCCGUUUGUAGAUGAGUUCAGGCUGAGACUAUCAUCAAACCUGUAAAAUUUGGAUCCAAUUGGACCUCGUAUGUUAAAGUUAGUACCAUGUGUUCCCACAAGGUGGCCCUGUUCUGUAUUGAUGUGUUAAGGUUCGGACCUUGGUCAUGCUCAUGUCAUUUUAAACAGAUUGGACGCUGUAUGAAACUAAGUUCUUGUUUCAUCUGAUAACUUUUAGUAAUGGCUGUGGCUGCAAUACACCGACCACAGUUGGAGAUGAUCUGAGGGCAAGUUCGAUCAAACACACACCUUGUAAAUUUAACAAAAAUUUCUGGACUCUCUGUUGAGAUACAAAGAUGAAUCCAAGAGUAUUUUGGUUGAACUCAGUGGUGACAGGGGUGCUGUGAAGACACGAAUUUCGUAAAACAUAAAAUAUCAAGUUUACACCAGACAUGAUUUGUGUGUGAAGUUUGAUACGUUUCAGGGAAUGUCAUACCGCCCCAGACAGGUUUUUUUUAGGGAAAUUAAAAAAGAAUUACCAAUCUUUUAUCUGUUCACAGCUGAAACUUCACAUUAUCAGGGUGAAAUCUAUUUUGGGAGUAAAGACUUGAAUCAAAAUGUGCCAGAAAUCAAACAACACUGAGACGAGAAAUGAAAAGAAAACAGGAACGACACGAUUCAGCUGACAUCAUUGUCUUUUUGGCAAAGAUCUUGGUGUUGAGAUUGCCAAAAGUGAUGCUUCUGGUAUUCUUUUGAUUUGAUUCUGGCUUAUUUCUCACUCAAGAUGCUUUUUGCAGAUUUUCCCUCUCAUUGAGGGACUGAACUUGUCAAGAUAACGAGGGGAAAAAAAAUCCUCAUUCUCACGAUAAACAAGUACUUUAGGAGUUUUUAACCACAUUUACGUCAGUCUUUAUCUAAAUUGAUUUUGUAAUUUAAUCACGCUCAUCUCUGACUGUAGGUAAAACUGAAUGGUUAGUUUGUCUGACGGUCCCCGGGGCCGCCCUUAGGCCAUCUCAUACACUCAGCACACGUUAAUCCACCUGACAGUUUGACAGCGCAGCGUUUAUUUAUAGAGCCGAACAGCAGCUCUGCAUGUUUUAGCGAGAUGGAGCGCGAGAUGGAGAGGGCUGCGGUGUGAAUGUACAGCAGUGUUUGACCCCCCUCACAGGUAGCUGACCCUCUGCUUGUCUCUCUGCCUGUUUAUUACCGAACCACUGAGACAGAAUUCACAUCCUGUCUAAUUACAUAACCUCCUACCCCCCCGCUGUCACAGAUGUGGUCUCAGCAUGUGCAGAUCCCUUAUAUACUGUCAUCAUCAUCUCAAGCAAAUAAAAUAACCGCUCGUGGAUUUACAUUUCCAUACAGCACCUGUAGCUCCGUGCCUCACCGCUGUAAUUGAAUCAGCUGGGAGAAUAUGCAGAGCUACAGCCAGGCCACGAGAUUCAUCAGAGAGUGGCGGUAAUGACUGCCUCCUCUCUGAAAACGGGUGUUUGGUUCAAGUCAAACUGGUUUGUUUCUGCGUGACUGAAGAGUUAUACGGCUACUUUAUUUUUCUCUUGUCUAUGAUUUUGUUGGACCCAUUUGACCAAGGAUGGAGAUCUCAUACUCUGUUCAGGCAAGGAGUGUCCUGAUACAACUUUUUUUUACUUCUGAUACGAUACCGAUAAUGUCGCCUUCAGUAUUGGCCGAUACUGAUAUUGCUCUGAUAUUGGCACAAAAUUGUGCAUGACACGUUUUGCAUCAGCUGCAACGUCUUUUUUUGGACUUGAACAAAAAUACUGCCACACGGCCAACAUCACUCCUACUUCUUGCUGCUUAGUUAGUACCUUCAUACACACUGUUGUUGUGAUUACGUGGGCCCUGCAUGCUGGAUCUGGGCGGUGCUAGAUGGAGGUUCUGGAGUGGAGUCUGGAAUGGACUGCUUUUAUUGGAGUGAUGAUUUCAGACAUAAUCCAAUAUUCGUUUUGUUGCUGAUAUCAGGCAGAGGUCCGAUAAUAUCGGAUCGCAAAAUCCUUAGCUAAGGCUGUCACAUUUUUUCCAAAAUUUGAACCCUUAUCUGAACUCUGGUGGAAGAAGUUUAUAUCCAAACUGUUAUGAGGCAUUCAAACUCAUAGUAAUCCAAUUUACUGGCACAUCAGGCCUCAGAGGACUAUGUCAGGCACAAUCAAGCGGACAAUCACGACACUGAAAUGUCUGCAACUUGUAGCCCUUCGAUGCCCGAAACCACAAAUUAUGGCAGAAAAAUCCAUUUUUUGGGGGGGAGUCGAAACGUUUAUUUCACUUCAUACUGAAAAUCCAAAAAAAUCAAAAUGUCCUUAAAAUUUAACAAAUACAUAUUUUUUUUAAUCUAGUUUGAUAUAUUAGAUGUUUUUGGAAACUGAUGAACUAUAAGAGGACAUUUUUAUCAUUUAUCGGACUGUAUUCAGUUGUUUUUUUUUUCUUGUAAUUUGUGGAUCGUAUUUAUUUGAUAUAUAAAAGUAUGUAUCAAAUAUGAUACAAAAAGCAUUAAAGGGUUAAGUCUAGACAAAUUUUUUUUCUGCAUGUCUGUAAAAACUUCUCAACCUGUAUGUCUGCGUCCAUAGUGGCACCUGUGUCCGGCCUACAGCUGCAUCUACUGGCCAAGCGUUUCAGCGUGUUGAUUUCCAGUGACACAUGAUUUCAACUCCAAACAUAUUGUUUUACCCUGACAUGUUUCUGAGAACUUUAUGAAAAGUUGUUCAAUCCCUCCUCCAGCAGACACAACCAUUUUCUAAAAACUUUUUUAAUGCUUAAUCAUUAAGAGAAAUGCCGGCUGUUAUUUGUCACAGCUUCAUAGACAUUGUGUCUGUUGCUGUUUCUUUUAUUUGGUCCACCCUCUGUAGUUGUUUACCACACUUGCUUUCAUUUAUGUUGUCAUAUCAAAGCGUAUCAAAUUUUACAUUCUAUUUAUCAGCAGCUUCCCCCUAACUCGUAUUUCACGGACCUCCCACUGCUCAUCCCACCAAGUGAACUCUGCAUCAUUCACCCUCAGCAUGUGGUGGCUGUGAGACGUAGAGAUACAUUCAGCAACAUCAUUAACAACAGCUGUUCAGAAAAAAAAGGAACAAAAUGUGAAAACAGGAGGCAGGGUUGAGAUGUAAAGGGAAACAGCUCCAUCAGCUUGAAUUACUGAGUUUCAACUGACUGCGAGGACGAUGUGCAGGAUGCUUCACGAACCUGGUAAAAUGUCAGAAGUGUCAGUUUGGUGUGACUGUUGAUCACAGCUAAUGUGGUAUGACAGAGGGUGAGAUUUCUAUGUAUCUUAUAGAUUAUCUUACGGUCAUUUCUGAGGAUCGUUAUUGCAGGAAAAUCAUGAUGAUGUUGCUUUGAGUUAACAGAAACAGCCUGCUUUACAAGUCAAUACUGCUUGUUUAUUGUUUGAUAGAAAUAACAGGCACAAAAUCACUCAUUCAGCAAGAGCAGAUUCUGGUACUGGAUGACAUUUGUCAAACAACUUUUUAAUGUGGACACUAAAAUUUCAUUGUUACACAAGAAAAAAUCAUCUCAUGGUCUGACACAUGUCCUCAGUAGGUGUUAGAUUGAGACUGCAGGCCAGUUCAGCACCAGGACUCUUCUACUACUGAGCCAUGCUGUUGUUAUACAUGCAAUAUCUGAAGUUAUGUCUGGAUGGCAGUAUAUGCUGUUCAAAACGUGUAUUGUCAAGUAUUAAAAGUGCGUUCCAUGGUUUCCAAAAAUAAUUUCAAACUGUGAUUUGUCCGUACUUGACAGUUUUCUACUGCACCUUAGUCAGUCUCUCUUUGGACUUGUUUCCAGCCAUUCUGGGUCAUGUUUGUAUCUGCUCUCUUCCAGGAUUUUGACCCUGUGCAUUGAUCUCCACUACAGAGUUGUGUCAGAUCUUACAGCAAUCUAGGGUUGGGUUAUUUUGAACAAUUCCGGUCCUGAUUCCGGGAGAAUCGAAUGUUAGUCCCGGUCCCCAUCAAUGCACGAAACUCAAUGCCCAACCCUACAGCUGUCCCGCUUGAGGGCUUUAAGAUCACGUCCAUCCGGUGUUGGUUUUCAUUCUUGUCCUUUUUGAGCAGAGAUUUCUCCAGAUUCCUGAGUCUCUUAAUGAUGUUAUGUACUGCUCGGGCCUUUUCUUCUCUUAGUGCCUUUAAACUGUGGAAUCCUCUUCUUUCCACCAUCUGAGUUCCCCAUCUGUUGAGGUUUUCGAAAGUUUUCUAUAAACACACUUUUACUCUUUAACUUUUAAUUGCCCCUAGCUUAAGUGUCUCAGAUGUUUUCAUCAGGUCUUUUAUGCCUCUGCAAAUAUUUUGGUACCUCAGCCUAUUAAACUGCAAGUCCUUUUGGUGCCUGGACUUCACCACACUGCAGCUAUUUCAGACUUUAUACAACAUUCUUAUUAUUGCUGCAUGUAGAUGACUUAUCGUGUAUGAACCAAACUUCAUUUUGAAAGUCUGUAAGGUUGCUGAUCUGUUAUUGCUCAACUGAUUGCAAACCGUUGCAUGUGCAAAACUGACACUUGAGAGGAACCCACAUGGUGUCAUUUUGAGCUAGAUGUGAAGCUACUAAACUUGAGAUUGUAGAGAGAUUAUCUUGUCCCAAACGCAAGAUUAAGAGGCUUUGUUUUUGAGUUGAUUCUGUCAAUUUGGUCUGUUGCUGUUGUCAGAUUUCAUCAUAGAAGAAGCUGUUAAAUUUUUAGCAGCACCAGCUGAUGAAUCAAUGGAGCACUUUCUAUACCCUCAAUAUCACCCUAGUUCCUUUUCUUUAUCCUCUCUUCAUUUAGGAGGCUCUGUACAGUUCGCCCACCGUCUCACUGCCACAUCAGUCUGGUGAUAAUAUGAGAUGACAGCUGCAACCCAACGCAACCCCUGUAUAUGCUGGAGACACCGAAGAGGACGGCGCAAAGCUGGAAAAAAAAUAAUCACAUCUCCAAUCUUACUCCAUCAUUUCCAAUCCAUCUGUAAACAGAAAACAAUCAAAUGACAGGUCCUGGAGUGAUCAGGGUUCAGGGUAAACUCCAAAUACCCCCUUCCCUCCAAACAAACAUCAUGCUUAUUGCCUUGUGUCUUGACCUGAGCUUUUCAGGAAACCAUAGACAGCCACACAGUACUACUCUCUACUUUUAAUACCUCUAUUUAAAUUAUAUAUCUAGGCUUUUACAGGUCACUCAGCAUUAAUUUUAGCAAAGGUGGGUCCCCUCUGAGCUUACAGUCUAAAUGUAAUUAUAUGAUGCAAUAUAUUCUGUGAUGGGUGUAUAAUCAAACUAAUAUACUGAAGGGUGAUGAAGUGAGUAUGACUCACCUAACCUCUUCCACACAGUGUCAUAAUGACGUCCAUCAGAAAAAUGUUCCCUUGGCGUGUCUUAUGUUGAGAAUGAAUGGAAAACAAGGAACGACUUUGAUUAGAAAGCUCCUCCAUUGCAAUCAUUCAGCCCGUUUAAUGUUUUGGUUAUUGCGUGCUAGCUCCAUGUUUCAAUAUAUUCUUUGUCUGUUUGUGACUUUUGACCUUUCUAACCAAGCCAACCAGCCAGUCUUUGGUUGAAAAACAUCCCAAUUUUAAAGAUCAAAUGUCAUUGCAGUUUCAGCUCCUCUCAAAUGGAAAAAUUAAUAAUUUGACCAAUUCAGUUAACUUCGGGGGCACCAAUGUUGUUUGGUCUGGACUUUCAAACUUUUUGUAGACAGAUAUGACAACCCCCCUGGACCUUGGUCCAACCAAAGGAGGUGGUCUCAUUCCGAACCAAACUGAACCAUGGUCUUGUUCAUGCCCAGAAUAAAAGCAUUAUUUUGAAAGGUUCAGACCUUUUUACCAAAGACAGGAAAAGAUGCAAGAAGUGAAAGAGUCUGUUAGUAUGUUGACUGGAGAUUGUCCUAGAACAGGAAUCUUUAUAAUAUUGUAGAUAAAUACCUCACUAUUGACAGCUUAUCUUUUACAACAUAGACUUUCUCUCCUGAGUCAGUGUUGCAGUGGCUCACAGGAUUGCAUAUUUUCUUCUUCUUUCCUGUUGAUGAUAAAGGUGUCGUCUUAUGAUAGCCAUAAGAUGAACUCAGACCAGCCUCAUGUACAGCACUUUAAGUUGUCACUGUGGGUAGUAGAAAAUCAACAAUAAUAUGAUGGUGUUUACAUGUUUACAACAUGAAAGACCCGCAUUAUGCAACAUGUUGAUAUAAGAAGCCCACCGGCAAAAUGACCAAUCAGCGUAAACUACAGAGACACGUAAAGCAUGUUGUUGAUGACGAUAUCGUGUAGGUUUGUCAUGUAAAGUCUGUUAGUCUGUUUGCAAUAAUGGCUGUGAAACAGACUGAAGCAAAUGUAUUGAAAUAAACACCAACCUGGUCUGGACCUUGGUCCGGACACCCUUAGCUAUCAUCUAUCGUCCAAUAUCCAACUAACAGUUUUCUGUGACUCAAACCUCUUUGAGAAGACAAUGACCGUUUUACAUGCUUUUAUUUUGGUAUUUUUUCUGUCUCGCAUGCUUUAUGGAAAAACUACUUUAAUUUUUGGUUGAAGCAGUGCACAACAUCAGGUAGACUGUGAAUUGCAGAACUGAAUGAAAACACUUAAAAGAAUUGUUAGAAAGUAUAAAUAUUAAAUUGAUCUGUAACCCAUAGAGGUACAAGCUCUCACAUUGGUUGAAGAUUUUCCCUAAAUCUUGGAAUUUUAGUUUUUAAAAGUGCUGGGUUAUUUCUGAGAGGGCCGCUACAGCUAGUUUGCAAGCAGCUGAGGGUAUUAAGGGUAUAAUAUGUUCGCAUGUCUCAUAGAUGUAUAAUAUUCCAGUUUUCAAAUGAUAUUAGACCCUAAUUACACUUAAAAAAUGUGUCAAAUGAUCCUUACAUUGGCCCAAAAAGAUUACAGCAGCCCCAAAAACUUAAUUUAGGAAGUAAUGGUUCUAUAUUGCGGCGAAACCUGCGCUCAAACACACAUUCACACUCUGUUCCACUGCUUUUCUCUUUUACAGUCAAUUCCCUGUGCUUCCAGUCAAAUAAUUUCACUCUCAUUAUACAGGACCAACAGUUUUUAAGGAGCAAACCUUGGCGAAAUUAUUAUUACUGCUCAUAAUUGGAUGAGGAAUGAAAUGUUCUUGGAAAUGUGAUGGUCAGAGAAAGCAUCCCUCGCCACUUUCUCUCUUAAACACCCCUCAUUCAGUCUCUCCCACCCUGCCAUUACCUCAAUCGCUCACCUUUUUCCUCUCUCUCUCUCCAACUCUCUCCCCCUCAUCCACCCUCUGAUGCUCCCCCUCCCACUUCCUCCUCCGAGCAUUAGAUGAGUGCGGUGGUCUAAUUGCUUUCUUCAGGGAGAGAAUUAGCAUGAGCUGUCCUGAGUGCUCUGGUCUAAUGCAUAAAGAACAGGCAGCAAAGGCUCAAAAAUGGGGGGCCGGGGAGUCGGAGACACUCCUUCCAUUAGCCAAUCAGUCACACUUAAAAGAUUUUGGGGGGUGACUGAAAACCACAUCGAGUGGUCAUACUUUAAUAUGUGAACAACUGGAAUCUGCGUGUUGUAUGACUCGCUAAAUUUUGCACACCACUGAUAAGGGUUAGCAGGUGACUGCCAUCGCCAAAUCCUGCACCCUGAUGUUCAUUUUUAAUAGGAAUCCCCCCAAAUCCACACAGGACUCAUAUGAAUCUGCAUGUGCUGCUGUGUUCAAUUUCUCAAGCUACAGUGGACAAAAAAGAGUGCACAGUUUCAGCAUAAACCAAAGCUCAAUUACAGGUUGUCACGAAAAGUUACUCUUCAGUCACAAAGAUUUUAAUUGGCUGCAAUGGACCCAAUCUCAAUACUCCAAGCCUCAAUCCUAGGACCUGUGAUUACUUGUUUUGAUUCCAGUUUCGAUUACUUGUUUUGAUUCUUCUGCAGGGCAGGAUAAAAAAAAAAGCAUGGUCUUAAUGAGGGCGCUAACCAGAGUUCUUUUUGAACUUCUCCAUGAAUUUUUACAUUAUCUGAACGAUUAAUGAACUUUACUUUGAGUUUUUCAGAACGAUUUGUUUUGAAGCCUCAAUAUUAGCAGAAGACAGACGUAAUUUAUUGUUUCACGUAUCUGAUUUUGAUUGGUUAGAGGAUGACCGGCACAGUGCGUCAAAGACGGAGCAAUCAGGUAUUUCUAUUCCAUGAAUCCAGAGAUGUUUUUAAUCAUGUUGGUCGUACACCCUCCUUAGCACCAUAAAACUGUUAUGCAAAUGUUGCACUGAGAUGACAGUUCAUUCUUAAUGCUUAAGUUAAAACUUUUGACCACUGCCAAUGCAUGUAAACACUAUCUGUGGCUUCGGCGGCUAUUUUCAUGAACAUAGUGGCUAUUUCUCCCGGUCGGAGGACUUGGCAUCGAAACUUCAAAUCGAAAUGGUUCCGUGAGAAUUGGAAUAUAAGUCCCGGUUCCCAUCAAUGCUCGAGACUUGAUGCUGAACCCUACAUGCUAAUCAUGUUUUGUGUCCAAGCUGUAGGGCUGUCACCCGCAAAUAGCAGGAGCGGUAGCCCUGGUCAACUGUCAUUAGCUAUACUACUCAAAUAUAAUUAAGUAUUGUUGACAUGGCGUGGCUUUAGGGGUUUUAGGUUUGCCAACAUUAGCCAUAGUCUGCAAACCAUCUUACCGUGUUUUCUAGCGGUGUCUGAUUCAAGCGAUUUGAGAGUGUUGUGAGUAUAUUUUGCUUCAAUUUUGGUAAAUGAGAUGAUAGUUUCUAUGUAAUUUUCUUUCACAAGUCACACAAACUCAAUGCUGCCAAAGUUAGAAGUAUAACUAAGCUCAGUUAGUUCACUAUCAUUUUAACUCUAAGCUGACUUUGAGGUCCGUGAACUCAUAUGUGUCAGUCGCGUUAAGUGGCUUCAUAUUGUCUUGAAAUUCCCAGAUUAGAUUUCGUGUCCCAGUCUGUGUCAUCAUGUGUGUGUGCGUAACAGCGAGGCUGACAGCUGGAGGGGGAACAGCAGCGAAGACACCAGUACUCUGAAGAGUACAGAGCUGUUUGUUUUUAAUAACAUGCCAGAACAGAGGGAUGUACCGGAGGGUGACAGGGAUGAAGGGAGGAUAAAUAACCUCAGUAUACACAACAUCCCUCUUCCAUCACCGUCUAUUACAGCUUGACCCACCAGAACACAGAGUCAUUACACCGGUCGGUGCCAUUAAAAUAGUUCGGGGAACAUAUUUUUGUCUGCUUCCUCUUGUUUUUUUUAGAAUACCCAAGAGUGGUGCUUGGUCCCAGGUGUUUGUUGAACAUUAUUUAUCUCUUGGUUUUUUAAUUAAAAAAAAAACAGACCAGUUAUUCAAAUUAUACUGGGACAUAAAUUCAUCAUAUCUUCAUAAUUAUCCUUUUUUUAAACCAGCUUUCAAAAUGAGAACAGAGCUAGUUUCGGCAGGUCAUGAAGUCGGCAGAUGGGAUCCCGUCUUCCCACUCAUGGCAAAUGUCAAGCUGGUAUAGCCUGACUCGUGACGCUUCAUCUACAAACUGCUUCAAAACCCACCUCCAUCUUAGCCCCUCUAUUUUCAUACUUGUUCCUGAUUUAACCAGUGUCAUAAAAUGUAUUGUGAUUGAUGCUGCCCUCUAUCUGAGGGGUCUUUACUGCUGCUCCUCCUGCAUUGGCUUUUCAUUUCUGCACAUGAAGAUUUGCUGUUACUGCUUUACUCUCUACUCAGGUUUUUUUUUGCUUCUGUUCUCCCUGCCUUUGGUUUUUCAUGUAUGCAGGUAAAACAGAGAGGAUAUGUGCUCUCACUGCUACGAUUUGUUGCCCAUUUGUUCUUUGCUGCUGCUCUCCCUGCAUUGGCUUUCCUUGUAUACAUGUGAAGGGAGGAGGAGGAGUGUGCUCCCUGCCUCACCCCCAAUUUUCACCGCAUCCGGAACUGCAGCAGUUUUCUACGUCUGCCAGUUCCUACCAGAUCCAUUGAUGAGGCGAAUUUUGUGGCGUAUUACAGACAUCGGAACCCAGAGGGAUUCACGCGCAAUAACAAGUUGUCCCUUAGCCACAGAAGCUAACCAUAAAAGCAGUAGAUGGUGUCUCUUGCCGAGAAGCCUCUAGACUUCUAAAAUCAGCAUCUCCUCAUCCAUGGUGUCAUUGGGGUGAAAUGCUGUCGAAAAACCUUUCACUUGUUUGUCUCUGCCUGUUUGCAUGCUGUGAAAUACGAUCGGCCUGAAACGUGGAGUGUUUUAUUUUGAAAAGAAGCCGGAUGUUUUGUUUUGUGUCUGUGCCCGACUUCCUUUCCAGCACAAGUUAAUCUGUGCUGAAUUUAUCCGGCAUGCUCCGGCGUCCAGAAAAAAUAGAACUCUUGCGAUUAGAUUGAUACGGCCGGAUGCGGUGGGAAUUGGGGGUCAGACUUUUUACUUUGGGGUGAUAUACACAUAUAUGUUCAAUCCAAAGAUCUAAGAUAUUGUCCAACAUUUUGCCCACAGACAGCAUGACUUAGCAGUGUUUUGUCUUUUGGUUGAAUUCAGAGCACAUAGCUGAGGUUUUACGUUAUUACAGAAGGACUUGAGGUUUGUUUAUUUGAAGUCCUUAAAUUUAGAAAGGUUAUAUGUCACUGCCAUUUCAUGCUGCUAAGAAGAGGAACUGUUCUGUACGGAAACAAAAGACAAAAUGUUUCUGUGGAUCAGGCUUAAAAGGGGGAAACACUUAUAUGCUGUGACUACUCGAUAUGCAGGCUUGUUUUAUGCAUGCAGUUUUAAGUAUGCAUUCAUAUUUGUGCACCUGAGGCUCUUGGUUGUUUGGUUGUUGUCGAGCAGAGCCUCGGUCUAAUUGAGCAGACAUCAGGCUUUGAUUAAUAUUGUUGAUGAGUGCUGCCAGCAGGGGUGAAGACACGGAGAGGAAGAACUGUCAGACAAACACCCAGGUAACAUCCUUCAUUCCCUCCGCCUCCUCCCCUCCUCACCACCUCGCUCCCUCCCUGUACUCACAGGAAAGGAUUCAGUGCCCCACUGGUUCACCGUUGAUUACACCAUUGUCUGCUUAGAUUGCUGAGCGAGCUCCAAGUCUGCCAUAUCUUUAUAAAGAAUGCACCUUGAGAGGAAUCUGAGAAAAAGACCAAUUUUGCAGCAGAGCUCAUCUUUGAAUUUGCUGGUGGGAACAUUUCUUGCUAAUGCUGGAGGAGGAGAAGCAUGAAAAGACUGUUAGCUCCUAUCACAAAACCAACAAAAUGUUAAAAGUAUAAUUUUAAGGAAAAGAUGGAUGAGUUGAAGUGUUGCAGUAGCACUGCAGUAGAUACUGCCUGGGGUCAAUCCCAAUCCCGCAAAGCUUCAGCAAUGCAAAAUCCGAGUUAUGCGAACAUCCCAGUUGAGUUUCUUCCAAUACAAGGUGAAUGGAAGUUUCUGCUUCAACCAAUUUCAGUGUGGUUUAUAUGGGAAAUUAAAUCCCAAGUUACCGACGAGUCUGACACAAAGUUGGUUUGCCAGUUGGCGAUGUAGUGUUUCACAGCUUCUGCUAUGGUGGACUUGACAGCCUUGAAACCAAUCUACUGUCUUCUCUGUGCUGCUGCUGCUGAUCACUAUAUGUUGUGUGGCGUUUUGAGUGGCGGCAAAAAAUCAGAAAGCCUAACUCACUUUAUCCUGGCAUAGAAAAGUGUUGACUUCUAAAUAUGAGACAAUCAGUUUUCCCAGAAUUUCAUAAAAGAAAAAAAAAAAAAAGUUUAGGUUUAUAAAUUUUAACAUUUAACACUUUCUUGCAGGACAUUUUGGCUAAUGGUACAUUUUUCUUCAAUGUGAAACCAACAUAAACCCUGAUCUACAAACUCUGUAAAAAGGCAUCCUAGUUUGUAAUGUAAUAUCUGCGUUGAGCACAUUUAAAUGACUUCUUGCAAUAAUGUGCAAUAUAGUUUGCCUUGCCUAGUUUAUUGCAAUAAAUUAAGAUUUUAUUAGGGAUGACUAAUAACAGUUUUUUUAAUGGUCGUAUUAUUGAUAAUCAUAAUGGUGGCCAAUGUAUAUCGCGUUGUUUUACUCAAAGCUUCUGCAAGGAACUUUUUUGUCAACUUUGGCGCCUCCUCUGGACAAAACUGACUUUGCUUAACCACUACAUACAUGCAUACAGAUUUCAGAAUAUGAGGCAGUGACUAUUUUUGAUAUGGUGAAAAACAACGACACAUCUAUCACACAUACUAGGUUGCCACAUCCCUCUGUCCCCCAAACUUUGCCUUCUAGGUGACAUGUCAGUUUUACAACUUAAUAAACACACUAAAACUACAUUGUACACAGCUCUAGCUGUCGCCAAGAAAACCAUCCUUCUAAACUGGAAAGCAAGAGAUCAAUUAAACAUCACCCACUGGAAGAACUUACUCGUAGAUCAAAUCUCAAUAGAAAAAAUGUCAGCAUCACUUAAUCAUAACACACCUUGCUUUAAUAAAACCUGGUCUACAUUUAUUAAUAAACUGACUUUCAACGAUCGCCGGACCCCCCAAACCACAGCAUCCAUAAAAUCUGGCCCCAUCUUACUCACAUCCACAUAAUCAGCACAAACACAUCAACACAUUUGCAUCUGCCCCCAUGCAUGACAUCGGACAUCCUGCCGGACCUGCUCUCCACUUGAGCUUACAGCUUUUAUGCUGGUCGGUCAGGGGUCUCCUUGAUUUAGAAGGGGGUUUGGAGCAAUGGGGGGGGGAUGGGGGGGGGGGGGGGGAGGGAAAUUGAAACAAAAGCUUCAUACACACACGUGCACACAUUCACAUGCAUACACACACUACUUUAAGAUACUGUUAACUGUUUUUGUUUCUGUCUUGUCUGUAUAUGUACCCACCAUCACUAUUUUUGUGUUUUUGUUUUGUUUUGUUUUGUUUGUAUGUUAUAUAAAAUAAAAUUAAAAAAAAAAAUAAAUAAUAAUAAUAAUAAUAAUAAUAAUCUGCAUUGCACCCCGUGGUCAAGCUGGAGAGCAUCGGUUGUGGUUUGCAUGUGAUAUUAUGUCAUAUUUAAUGCAAUAUUUUGUUGUUUUAUAGUUCCUGCUGUUCAGGUGCAAUAUUGACUGCAUAAAGAGAACAGUGCACAUGCAGAAGCAAUAAAAUCACUGUCUGAUUGUCUCAGCUGUUUUCUAUGAAAACGAAAAAAAAAAAAAAAAAAAGAAAAACAACGACUCAAAGUUUAUCUAACAUCACUCACUGAGUAUAUAAGAUAUAGAGAUAUAUGAUCUAAAAGAAGCUUUAAGAAAUUGUCUUUAAAGUUCAGCAAACUUCCUUUCUUUCUGUAAAACACUAACAGGAAGUAUACCUCUGCAGCAUAUUGCGCGAUCCAGCUGGAGCUCUAUUCAAAUAUUUAUGUUUACUGGCAUGGUACACAUUUAAUUUAUACUGGCAAUCAAGUUAUGUAGCUACAUUAUUAAAUCCAUAUUAGUAGUUAUUACAGUUUCAUUUAUUGCUGGUCAUUGCCAUUCUCAGAGUGCUGCUGCUAUAAUAACAUUAUUAAUUGUAAUUCCUUCUAAUAUGACACAGAGGGCCGCUCUUUAGAAAGUGAUUCCAGAGGGACUUCACUAAGCUCUCGGAGAGCAUGUAUGAUGAUUAGUGCAUGUGUGCGUACCACGGCGUGUGCAUGUCAGUUUGUGUCAAUGCAUCGCACUUAUCUCCAUCACCCUGUGUGUGUAAGUGUGUGUUUGCCUGCGCGCACAUUACUUGCCUUAUCAUAUAAUUAAGUGGCAUUUAAUAGACUGUUCUUAAAGUCAGUGAUGGCUCCACAAACACAGAGAAGAGAGGCUUUAUAGUAUAUAAUCAGUUAAAUUGUCAGUGGAUAUUAACAUUAUCUGCUCUCCUCCGUAAUUUGAUUUCUUUAUUGUGUUUUAAAUUUCAUUAAAUGGCAAUAUCUGAAUAAUUGAGCAAAUAUUGGGCCAGAGAUCCGGGAACAGUAGCGGUUUUGACACCCAAUAAGACAUUAUUAAAAGAGGUGAUUGGAGUUGAAAAACUGUUAACAUCAAGCUGUGUCAUGUCGCGGUGUAUGAGCAGGAACAGAAGGAGGGAUCAGGACAGACAUGAUGAAAAAAUAAGGAGAGGAAAGAUUGUAUUUGACAGACAGAUAAAAGGAGAGGAGAGCUGCCAUGAUGAGGAAGGAAGAAAGGUCACUAGCCGGAGUAAGGAAAGGAACCGGCCAAUAAUGAGUGGAUGAUGACAGGCUGUGGCAGAUAAAUGUGAUUGCAGGGAAGCAGGACGGAGGCAGAAAAACAAGCAGAAGCAAGGGAAGGAAAGUAGGAUUGAGGAUGCACCAGAGGACGAAAGGUAGGACCCCAAUGCGCGUGAGAUGAAGAGGAUUAAGGGAUUGCACACAUCAAGGAGGGGAAGAAAGAUGUGUGGGGGAAGAAAAAUGACUGAUUGAAGAUGGGAGGAGGCGAAGGAGGCGAGGAGGAGGCGACCGUGCUACAGAGGACGCGUGAAGAGGCCUGCUGAAGCUAGAUAGCACGCAGGGAUGGCAGGAGGAAACGUGCAGCAAAAGUCUCGAGGACUUCAGGAUAUCUUGGGUUUUAAUUCUCCCCACAGGCAUCUUAAAGAUUGCCUCCGGUGGGACCAAUCGCGCAGACAUAAUGUGAGAAGAUUCACACAGGUUUGAGCGCGAUGGAUCACGCAUGACUAGCUCCCUCGCUGACAGAACUAUAUGGAAGGAUGGUGGCCACGUUCAAGCCAAUUAGAGGAGCCCUGAUCCAGUUUUUAGUGCGAGAUAAAGCCGAGCUCGGCCUCCGCUGGCAGAUUGGGUGAUGGAUCGCAGACGACAGACACACACGGAUCACACUCAACGUGAAGUGAGAAGGCUAUUGAGUCUCCAUCUGGACUGUCCGUGGCUGUCUUUCUUCUUCUCUCCUUUUUUUUUUUCGCCGUGCACACUGGGAUGUUCUCAGUCUCUGUCCAAAUUUGGCUGGAGCUUGGCCCGGCUCCCUGUUUAAUAAAAGUGAAGAGCAGAACCACAGGAUGGAUGAAUGGUUGGAUGGAUGGGUGAUUGCAUAGGUGGGCGGGCUGGCGGGUGUGUGAGACAUCCUCAGGUUUUAAUAUGUGCUCUGCCUCUCAUAUCCUUGCUUGUUUUAAUAUGAAUAGCUACUUGUGCAAGGGAAUGAAUUCAUAGCCGUGCACUAUGAGUAUUAUUGGCUGCAGUGUUGAGUGGCAGCCUAUAUAUGUGCUAGAGCAGCAUCGCAGAGGACGUAAUAAUAAACCUCCUGCAAGAGGUGGCAAAUAAAAACAACAGGGAUAAAAGUACAUCAUAUCAUAACCUGGUUCUCUGUAAAAUUACCCUCCACCGCCCUCCCCCUCCUCUUUGAACACGUCUACCUUCUCUCAGAUUUCCUCACAUCUUCUUUAUCUGCAGCUUUCACCUAUUUUUUUGUCAGUCGCCCUAAUGAGAGCACAGUCUCUUCUUGUCACUUCUCUUUAUGAAACUGCUCCAUAUCAAGGGGGGAGUUGAAACACCAUGGUGCUUUCAUCUGCCCCUCCCUCGAUAUUUGUUCACAUCCUUCUUCCUGUUGUGAGCAUGUGACAAUCAGCCACUUCUACGCAUUGUUACAGCUGAUACCUAUGACAAAUCAAUGGUGUAAACAGAGAGCAAAAGGGGCAACCCAUUGCCCCUCUGUCCUCAAGUGAAUUUAAUGUAAAUGUAAACCAAGCGCCCUCUGGAUCCAGUGACUAUAAGGUUAAUGAAAACCAAUUGCCCUCUGGAUGCUGUUCUAAUGGAUAUCACGUAAACCAAAUCCCCCUGGAUGCCCUUAGUAGCAUAAUCCCACCAGGCUGCCCUUCCCAUGGAAGCAAAGUGCUCUCUGGAUGCCCUUCCAUUUGAUAAAAUGAAUGAAGGUGCCCUGUGGGUGCUGUCCCAGUGAAUAGAAUGUAAAAAGAGCAUCUUCUGGAUGCCCCUCAGUUGGAACAAAUAUAAACAAAGUGCCUUCUGGAUGCCCCUAUGUUGGAGCAAAUGUAAACUUAGUGCCCCCUCGACGCUGGUCCAUUGAACAUAAUGUAAACAUAGUGCCCUCUGGAUGCCCGUCCUUUGAAGCAAAUCCAAAGUGCCCUCUGGAUGCCCAUUUAUUAGAGCAAAUGUACACAAAGUACCCUCUGGAUGCUUUUCCAGUGAACAUUAUGUAAACCAAGUGCGCUUUGGAUCCUGUUCAAGUGGAUAAAAUGAAAUCAGUGUCCUCUGAAUGUCCUUUAGUGGAUAAAAUGUCAACAAAAUUCCCUCUGGAUGCCCCUCCUAUAGAUUUUUUUUUUUUUCAUAAACAAAUGGCCUUCUGGAUGCUGGCUCAGUAGAUAGAUGUAAACAAAGUUCUACCUCUAUGCCCAGUCAGCAUUUUGUAACCAAAGAGCAUUGUUGUCUUUAACAUUUAUCCUCUCUCAGGGCAUACAGCUGAUAUCCUUUAUUAUUUUAAUGCCUUUACCCUUCAAAGAGCCUGAGCAUGCUUCUGGUCUCAAGUGCUGUGGAUCAGAUAAAAUAUUACAUUAAAUUCAAUAGCUUUACAGCCUAAAAUAUUGCUCUUUCCCAGUUUUUACAUGUUGUUUUAUCCAAGCAGUGGCUGCAAAUCAGCUGAAGUGUAAGAGCGAGAAUUCACUGCUGUUGGUACCUGAUAAUAAUAUGACACAUUUGAUUAUUUUCACCGACUCCUCCGGAGAAUAUGAUAAAUUAUAUUCCACAGACUCCCCCAGUCUGUUGGGCAACAUCUUCAUAAGCUCCAGAAAUAAUGUGACCAGCAGUAAACUUGUGUGUUUAAACUUAGAUCUCCAAAGUUGAACUUGGAGAGGGUGCAGAAGUGUGUGGUCGUGGUGAACUCACUGGUAAGUCAUUCCCCUGACCGAUAAUCUUUGCUGACUCAUAAACGCCAUGAUCCCAGUCACAAUAAGAGGUGUGGCUGCAGAUUGAGCUAGAUUAAAUCAGUUCUGCUGGUGGAUUUAAUCCUAAAACUUGAAUCAAAGUUCACCAAAGUGACUGAGUGGCUUUAAGUUGCGUCACCUGGCAAAAUCUUGGACUCCUUUAUCACGUCCUUAUAAUAAAUCAUCCUGUCCCUGUGUGAACUCUUUUGUUUUAUUCAAAUUAAAUAAAUCUGAUGCAGAAAUGUAGGUGUUGAAAAUGCUGCUGUGACCGAUCCUUUCAGGGUUGAAAAUGCUUUUAUUCUGAAUGCCAAGUAAUUGCACAAAGUAGUGACUGUAAGAGCAUGUCAGCUGUUGUUCAGAAAUGAAAAAAUAACAAGCCAGGGGAUGGAUUGUUAUUGUUUACUGUUUGUCAUUGGCUUGAGAUGCUUUAAUAAUGCAGGAAAAAGGAGCAGCGAACCUGGGGGCCAUGCAUUUUACAUCUCUUCCUGCUUUAAUUAAAGCGGCGACUUCAGAGGGACGCACAAAAGAGGGCUCAUAUCUGCACACCCACUCAAAACACACGCAUGUGCACCAACAUACACACACACAUACACCUUUGACAGCAUAAUAAUUGAGCCUACAUCUCUUGAAUCUGGGUCACAGGAGCGCACAGCGUACACAUCCUUUGAUGUGUCAUUAGGCUUCUUGAUUUUCCUCGAAUGCAGCGCUAUUCAGGAAGGAGAAAUUUCAGGUUGGCCAAGUCUUACCAGGAGAAUAAUUGGCACCGGUGAGUGGUUAUUAUCGGUUUGCAGGAUUCUGGAUGUGAUACAAUAUUUGCGGUGAAUUCAAAACUCCCCAAACGCCUGUACUGCUUUAUAGUUUUUCAUCUAUAUUCAUUAAGGAAUGCUAACAAGUGCUAUUCUCUUUUAUUCAAUCCAGCUCUUCCCUCAUACAGUGUAAUCAGGACCCUUUUAACCUGCACCAUCAAGGUGCACUGAUUAUACACUCACACACACAUACAGUACACACACACACACACACAGAAUAAAGCAGAUCCCUCUAAUCUCUGCUCCUUUCUUCCUGUUGUAAUCAAACAUCUUCAUUCAUAAUUGAAGUGGCUAUGGCAGAAAAAGAUGAGGAAAUUGAGACAAAGUCCAUCGGGUUUUAUCCUGAUUAUGAGUCUUGGGGUGCAGCCGCCGUGUGUGUGUGUGUUCGUCCGUGUGUGUUCUUCCCAAUAGUGUAGCUCACAAACAGCAAAGAAAGCCAGAUGAACUUCCUGCUCCGAGCUCGUCCUCUCUCGCCCUUAAACAGUCCAUCAUGCGUGUGAAGAUUUUUGUUAUGAUGAUGAGAGGACUCAGGAUGAGAAAUGAAUUGAUAUUAUACUGGAAUCAAUCGCGUAAACACUCGUAAUUGCCAAUUUAAUUGCAAACAGAAGAGGAGACGCUAACAAAAAAGACAUUAACUCAAGUGCCUGAAUUUUUUCGACUUUGCCCUGUCGCAUCAAAUUAGUUUAAUGACUUUUUGUUGCUGGGGAUCUCUUUUUUUUCCAUGUAUUAAAUCGUGCCAUCUCCCCGUUUAAUAUCAUUUAUAUGAUGAUUUGGGUUUUUACUCGUGGAAAUGACUGAAUCUAUUAGCAGAGCAGGGGGGUAAACCAGCAGUGGUCUGCUUGAAUCUGUCUGUCGAGGCUGUUUAACAUGAAACAUUUCCAACCUCUCUAAACCACAUUUAGCAAGAAAAAUUCUAACUAAUCUCAUAACUUUCUUUUUUUAUCCAAAACCCUUGAAAAACUACUUCUGGUCUAUCUGCUUUCAGUCUCACCUAUGUUAAAGAUAUUUGAAUGUUUGUACUGCGUAUUUGUAUUUUAAUACAUUCAGACUGUACAACCUUCUGAUGAUAUAUGUCCAUACUGAAGUUGUGUAUAUUUCCCAGGCCUGUACUUUACAUCAGACUCUGCUGUCUUAUUAAAACCACCCAGCAGCUCUUUCAAAUUUCCCCUCGCCUGGAAAAUCCAUUCAGCCACUCAGCCCGUCCUGGGCUCUGCACUUUGUUGAAUCAGCGUGUCUCAGAAUCAACAAAGUUUCUCUUUGAUUGUGAGGGAAAGUCAUCGCUAUUUUCUGCCCCCAAAUAUGAAGGAGUGCAAAAUUUUGAUGUUUUUUGGGCCGGUUCAAGCUGGAGUUGAAUCUCAACUGUUCCUGAAAACCUGAGGCUGUUUCACCCAUGCAGACUCAAAACCACAAUCUGUGAUUAACAUUGUAAUAACCGGUAAAGGAACAAUAGGUAAUUUAUAAUGGUGAGGUAGCACAGGCGAUCACAACUUACCUCUGACAGUAGCCACGUUUACAUGGGCACAAAUAAUCGGAGUAAAAAGCGAUCGGUUGAUUCUGAUCCAAUUUGGCUCAGACAGAAAGAAAUUGUAGUCCGAUCGAGAGGGGUGGUUUAUGCUGAUUGUUAUUCCGAAUCGCAUCCAUGUAAACACUUAUUUUGAUCGUGACUCUCUUACCUGACCCGAUCUUUACUCUUCAGCCUUCUGCUUAUUUAUUGAGGCCAGUACAAGAGGUUUCAUUAUUAAUACUGGCAUAAAACAUGACCACAGGUGCUGUGUCUGCUCCUCAGAAAACAUAACAAGUAGGGCUGCAACUAACGAUUAUUUUGAUAAUCGAUUAAUCUGCCGACUAUUUUAAUAACUAAUCGAUUAAUCGGAUAAACAGGCUAAAUUCAUCAAUGCAGCUGUAAAUAGCAAUAGCAUAGGGCUUUAGUUUAUCAUAUGAGUUUAUCUGCCAUGAGGUGUUGAGGUCUCUGCAUGUGUAGGUUACUGACUUACUGUAAUCAUCCGGUCUUUCUCGUCCUAAUAAAAACCUGCUCUAUUUCGGCGAGUGUCUGUCUUCUUCUGUAGUCAAACCGCAAGAUAUCAAAAUCUACCCGGAUACAACAAUGCUGCUUUUUGAUUGGCUGUUCAGUAGAUAUACUUUAUUUGAUUGGCUUGCGCGUGGCACGCAACUUCUGAACUCUCGGGGAAACUCAGCUGAUUUCCACCUGUUCCAUAGUCAAAGAAGUGCAACUUGGUGGACAUCACCGUGUUCAAAAUGCGUGAGAAAUACAAUGUGUGGUGUGUCAGCGUGUGAACGAGUGGGAAUGCGUGUGUCAUACGCUGAAUGCUUGAGACUUGAGAGCCCUGUGCUCGCGCAUCAUCGAUGUACUCCCGAGCCAUGCAAAACGGUCUUUGCAAAUGUUGCACUGAACGCCUUCCUUUUCAGUCUUGGUGAAGUUUUCCCACACCACUGAUGUUUUAGGUCGGGAUUUGGGUUGGGUUGUGUCCAUGUUUUUCUCAGCCGCUGUCUCGGCCAUGGCUGUUUCUUUUCUGUGCGUCCUGCUGAUGUUUACAUGCCGGUGUCCAUGGACAUAUAUAAAGACCCGACGAAUCGAUUACAGAAUUAGUUGGCAACGAUUUUUUUCGUCACGACGAAUCGACUUAAUCGAUUCGUUGUUGCAGCCUUAAUAACAAGGUGUACAUACAGUGUAAUGAUAUCACAUCUGCACGCACAGAGCAACCUUUGACAGACGGUAAAAUAAGUGAGCAACGGUGCAAUCUCGUGACAAAAUUUAACCGGGCGGAAUAUCCUGAAUUGGAUGGAGUGAGCCACUACCGCGUUUGUUGGUUUGUUGACAGCACAGGUGUCAAUACGACUCUUCUUCUGUGGUUGUUUUAGCGAAAUUAGGCUAUUGUCUGUUAAGGCUUACUUCCAGGUCAUUUUGUGGUUACAGAGCUGUGUAAAAAGUAACACCCACAAGCAACUUUUUAUCAGAGGAAAAUCUCAGGAAGAAGUUGAAAAGCACCAAAAUGAAGGUUUUCAGGGAUGCUAGCAAAAGGUAAAUAAGAUUUUGAGCUGCAAAUCAGGCAGAGCUACAGGAUCAACAAACGUACAUAUUGGCAAGAAAAAAUCAAAUACAGUCUUCCUUUAUAACUUUGUAUUCUCCCUUACUCCUCUGUCCUCUGGAGUUCCUCAAGGUUCAAUCCUUGGGCCUAUCCUGUUCUCCUUUUACAUGCUCCCUCCAUGUAAUCUUUUCAGCUGCAUCUAUUUAAUAUAUCACUGUUACGCAGAUGAUACAAAACUCAAUAGUCCUGCAAGGUAGAUAACCUGGAUCAGCUGUACUCCCUUCAUAAAAAGCCUUCUGUAGUCCAUGAAUGGAUGUUACUACACGUCCUCCAAAUGUUAUUUUUUUUCUGCUUAUGCUGUUUUAAUUCUCUGAAUACCUGCCUGAAUUAAUCAUCUUACAGUUGAGUUUGAAAUGCAGCCAUUAGGAUAUUAACUCAAACCAGCUGCCUGUACCUUAACUAUAUAACCAAGCGUUUUAUAAGUACUAAAUAAAUAUUUUACGCACCAGGGUGAGCACACACUCCUCGCCAGAGAUGUAGAGAUACAGUCACUGCUCCUUAUCCCUGCUCCUGGCCGCUUCUCAGCCCAUGAUGACAACUUAACCACCCACUGUAUCUGUCAGCAGAGGCAACACUGGAAAAUAAUAUCCCUGAUAUCCAAGGUUAAAGGUGCCAGAUUCUGACAAGCUAUGUCAUCAUUAUCAGCCUGUUUCUGUGCCUGUGUGUGUGGAGAGGUAGAAACACGAGGGGCUGAAGGUAUUUCCUUACACAAAUCCUCGCCUGAGAUGCAGCAGGCACAGGAUACGUGAAUCUAGCCGUGUGAUAUAAGGUGUUAGUUUUAGGUUUUCCUCUAAAUCUGCCUAAAGGGCAAAAAUGCUCUAUGAUUCCAGCUGUAAGUCAAACCCUGCAAUCCUAAUAUAGCCAGGGGAAACAACAGCCUCCGCCAUAAUCAGGUACCGGCGUGAUAAGCCCUCAGAAUCUGAAUUACGUUUCAACCCUCUCCUCCUCUGCCCACAAGAUUCAUUUCACAAAUGCAGCUCUAAAGAGAGCAAAAGGGCUGCACAGGGGAGGAAAAAAGCAUCCAUCACUCUCAGGCUCUAUCAAAUCCAUCUGCCGGGGUGUAUUAUUUGAGACACACUCCUUAUCCUCUCUUUUCAAGUGCGCCUCUUUGCAUUUUUUUAGCAUGACCAGGCCGUCAAAGGAUCAAAGCGCCGGCGGAGCAGCAAACUGGGGACUGUUUAACAUCUUAACAGGUAUAGAAAAGGAUAUCCGGCGUGGCGUACGGCUCUUCUGGCAGAAUAGGAUGGGUGGUGCGAGGAGAGAAGAGAAGAGAGGCGGUGUUGUCUGUGAGCUGAGAGCCACUAGGUUUGUACAGGUGCUACUGCUGUAUCAGUUAAGCGUUGUUGCAUAAUUAUUCAAAAAGAGACCAUUGUUAAGGAGGCCGACAGUCUCUCCCAGCUCUCUUUAUGUCGAAUAAUCUGCAAGCACACGCACGCAGACACUCAGAAAAGUAAGUUUUCAUCCGUCAUUCUCCUUGUAACCCAAAAAAUGAAAAGUCGAGCAGAGAUGCAGAAUCAUCUCACUUGCAGCAUGUGAUCGUGUGAUCCGUGGGAAAUGUGAAAAUGCUGCUCAUACUUUAGCACCUUUGUCAGCAGUCUGUUGCAGAGGCACCAACGUUCUGGCGGAGUCAAAGAGAAUCUGUGAAAAGAAACCUUUCUGUUAAAAGUCGCGAGAAAACGCUCAGCCGCGGUGAGGUAGCUCAGAUUUCUGGGACUAUUUCAGGAUCAUGAUGACAAGGUAUGAUGUCGACACAUUUCUGCCCUCGCAGCAGUCGAGUGGGAAAAUAAAAGAUGUCUCUGCUAAUGCCUGCCUUAAACUAGGAAGCUUUGAAAGACUUUUGAAAGGCUUAAGUAUGAAACCCCUUCGGGUCCUCAUAAACAUGAGUCACAAACUGAUAUUUUACAGAGUAUGUACCUUUAAAGACCAGGUUUCAGAGAACUGUAACUACAUUCAUUUGGAUUUAUUUUCCACCUUAUGUACUGAUUAAACAAUCUGUUUAAAGAAGCACACAGACGUGAUGUGAGUACGUUGGUAAAGCAGCAGAUUGCACUCAGAUUUUGGUGCUCUGUAACCCCCAAUUUUCACUGCAUCUGGGACGGCCCCAAUUUUUCAUACCGGAUCUGUUUGUGAGGCGGAUAACAUACAGCAGGAAUCACGAGAACUCACAAGAACCCGCGGAUUCACGUGCAAUUGCGUGAUAACAAGUUGUCUUUAGCCACAGAGGCUAACCGUAAAAGCAGUAGAUUGUGUCCUUCCAGUGGAGGAAAUCUAGUUCUAGCAUCCUCUCAUCCAUGGUGUCAUUGGGAUGAAAUGCUGUCUAAAAACCUUUUACUUGUUUGUCCCCGCCCAUUUGCAUGGUGUGAAAUACAAUCCACCUGAAACAUGAAGUGUUUUAUUUUGAAAAGAGGCCGGAUGUUUUAUUUCGUGUCUGUGCCCCACUUCCUUUCCGGCACGGGUUAAUCUGUGCUGAAUUUAUCAGGCAUGCUCCGACGUCUGGAAAAAAAUAGAACUCUUGCGAUCAGCUGUGGAGUCCGGCGAUCCGCAGCAGAAAGGAAAGAAGCCGGUGGAAAUUGACACUUUAACUUCAAUGGUUAUGAUCCGCAAAUAUGGCCUUUUCGUAGCCGUUCCGGAUGCGGUGGAAAUUGGGAGUAACUGAGAGUUCAUUUAGCAACAGGAGCGUAUUUCACAAACGUUCACUCUCAGGAAGGGUCCCAAAGGCUGCAGACACUGAUUUCAGUAAAGCACAUUUUAAAGAGAAUUGUUUCGGCCUCAAAAGCUGGUAAAUGCGUGAACAAAGACAUGCAAUAAUGUCGACGCAGAUUUAAUAGGAUGGGUUAACUCUGACAGGUUAAUUCAACACAUUCAGCUGCAGACUUGACUUCCUGUGAAGCACUGUCAUGCAAACAUGAAUAACAUUCAAAUGUCAGACGAUUUGAAGUGAGUCUUCCCUUCAAAUCACGUCAUAAACAGAUUUUUCCUUGAGUAAACAACCUCUGCUCCAUCCAAACAUGUAUUCAGAUUUUCCCCCCUUCCAACACUCUCACUCACUGCCACCACUUCUCCUCCCUCCUGUCUUCAAAUCCCCUUUUCCCCCCUCCCUGCCUCUUUGUGUUUGCUCGUCUUUCUUUAUCUUCCUCCUUUUUAAAAAGGGACGAUUCCUCCUCCUUUGUUAAUGUGACAAAUCUACUCUAAUGACUCUGCAGUGGCUCUAGGCGUCUCACGCUGAAAAACACUAACCCCCUUUUCUUCAGACCCUUCAGUCACUCCCUCACAUUAUUCCGCCCUCUCUAUAGUCUUUUCAAGUCUAUGUGAAAUUUUUUGACAAACCCGUCCUGUGAAAAACAAAAUGAAAAGAUUGCUUUGCUCUCAUUCAUUCUCCUACCAACCAGCACCUCCUUUCGUCGCCGCCGCCGCCCUGACUACAAUGACAGACUUUGUGCAUCAUAGGCUGCUGUCACACUGAUGUUUCUGUCAUAAAACAAGCACGCUUCUCAAGCUAUUGUGACAUUCAUGUCUGACACUUGAAACUCUUUGAGGAGCUCAUCCUCUUCAAGUUGGAGCUUUUUCGUAGGUGCUGUUUUAGGCUCUUUUUUUUUUACGUUCCGCGCUGCUCCCGGCGGCUAUAUUGAGUUGAGUCUGACUCUAAGGGGUUGAGCAGGUGGCCAAACACUCUCAUUCUCUGUCAACUCACUCCUACCACCUCUCCAUUUCUACAUGGCAAGAUAUGCAUCACUGCCAUGGCAACAAUAGCCUCCCUCAGCCCACGGAAAAAGGAGACGGGAAGGGAAGAUCUUGGCUGCGAUCUAAGUUAGUCAACAUCUUAUAGAGAGAGAGAGAGAGAGAGAGAGAUGUAGAGGUGUAUUUAGGGUUUUUUUCACCGCCAUCAGUUUCAGAAUGGAUGUGGCUACUUAAUGAAAUGUUUUAACCUCUGGGAAAGAGGAACGACGGCGAGAAAGGAAGGAGGGGAAAGGAAAGCAGGGGAAGAUCGUUUCCCUCCUUUCUCUUUUCCUGUCAGGGUGGCGGGGCAUUGCAUUUGAUGCCUGCGUUAAGACUCUGUGUGGCUAAUGAGGAAAGCGCAGGGCACACUCAUUAAACCGUGUGUGUACAUGUGUGUAUAUAUGUGUGUGUGUGUGUGUGGGAACAAACUGAAAGUGAAAGUGGGGAGAAACUCAUUAGAAUUCUCCCGUUCUCAAAGGCCAAGUUGGUGAGGAGGAUGGAUCUGUGGCGAGGCAGCCUGUUGAACCCUUUCGAGAUACGAAACAGUUACACAUUCAUAAAUACAUUUAUUAAAGGCUCAGCCAAUGGGGAGUGAUACCAGAUUUUUGCAAUUCAGUUUCCAAAAGUUGAAGGGGACCAUUCAUUAUAACUUUGGUAUUCCAAAACCCCAAAAAGUCCACCAGCCGACGCAACCUCGUAACAAGUUUGAUCCUACUGGAGAGUUUCCCAAAUUAGUGCUUCUCAUAGCCUCGUGUUUGGACUGAAUUACAGAUUGUUGAUUGAAUUAAAUGCUUUAAAUCAGGUAGGGCUUACCCAUGGAACUAAACUGCUUUGGUUAACAAAAAUAGAGGUGAGUUUGGGUGCUGUUUGAACCCAGUAAAGUAGGCACGUCAUUACCAGAGACAAAUCCCACAUCCUGUUGGCUGCUACCUCAAAUCCCAUCAGUGUAUCUGGGUUAAAUUAAACAUGUUGGGCAUGUUUUUUAACAGAUAUAAGAUAUUUACAGUAGAUUCAAUUACAUAAAUGGGAUAUCCUCCAGAUAUGGAAGUUUACAUUUUGUCCUACUGCACAGUUUUUUAAUAUUUCUCAUUUCUUGUGUCUAUACUUUAGCGAAGCCAAACCACCACUAGCCAAAUGCUACAGCUACAGUGCUUGACUUUAAAGGUGUCCCAACACAACUUUUUUACUUUAAAUAAAAUACUGAUAUUGGAGCCUUCAGUAUUGGCCGAUACAAAUAUUGAUUUGAUAUUGGCACAAACUUGUGCAUGACAAGUUUUUUACUUAGCUGCAAUGUCUUUUCACUCCUUAUUAGUACCUUAGUACACACUUUUGUUGUGAUCACGUGGGCUCUGCAUGCUGGAUCUGGCUGUUGCUAGAUAAAGGUGCUGGAGCUGAAUCUGGAAUGGACUGCUCGAAUCAGGGUACUGAUAUCAGAGAUUUUAGAUUCAUGCUAAAAUAAUCCGAUAUUUGUUUUUUGGACCAGUAUCAAUAUUGGAUUGGGACAUCCCUACUUGACUUUUAUGUAAGCCAGUACAGGUGUCAAAUUACAUCCUUGACAACUUAAAAUGUCAUAUUUCCAAAAGAAGAAAGCCAAACAUAACCAGCACAGGGCUGUUAACAAAUAAACAAGUCUGGGUUGUGUAACGUGUUAAUAUAAUGGCAGAUUUCAUGUCAGUAGCUGCAUUCAAUGGGCACAAAUAAUCGGAAUAAUGGCCCAAUUGGAACAAAAAUACAACAAACAUGUCGAUUGUAAGAUUCUGAUCCAAUUCGGCUCAAUUGGAAAGGCAUUGUGUCCUGAUCGAGAGUGGUGGUUUACACAGAUCGUUAUUUUGAAAUGAGUCCAUGUUAACACUUAUUCUGAUUGUGACUCUCUGUUUGUUUGUUGACAGCACAGGCGUAAAUACAACUCUUCUUCUGCAGUUGUUUUCGCGAAAUUAGACAAUUCUGCGCAUGUACAAACGCUUCUAAUAUGAAUAUAGUUGUACGAUCGAUUAUCUGAUUUUGCACCCAUAUAAACAGUGGAUUCACAUUUUCCAAUCCCUCAAGUUUUGCACAUGUAUGGCUAAUGUAAAAGUGACUUGGAAACCAAAUCAUACUCAACAACCAUCAGUUGCAGGAUCCAUGACAGCAUUUAGUUUACAAUAGUCUUGUGUUUGACAGAACUACCAUAGCAGGAUUUUUGCUACCUAAUUUCCUCCUUUUCAGUCCUUAUAAUUAUCUCACUCUAAACAUUAACUCCGGCAUUGAUAAGCUGUUGCACAGACGUCGUAUGGCCGCACUUUCGGUGAUGACAUUUCCCUAAAAACAUUCACAAAAAGUUCCAAUUAUGACUCUCAAUGUUUGUCUUUUUCAGGUGCAGGAGCCUUAAAUAGUCAUAUUUUACAACUUCAUGUCUCAUUAAAACUCCUCACUGAAGCCGACCAGCAUCUUCAUACAUCAAAAUGUCUUAUUAGAAUCAAUUUGGCGGGAACAAACAGUUCAGCGCGUCGGUUCUCGUGCUUGUUUGCCAUCCUAAUUGGCAUUAGUUUCAUUUGGAUCCUUUUUAGCACAAUAAAGACUGCGAGCGGGAGGAAACAGAACGGCUGUGUGAAUAAUACAGCUUUCAAGAACUUGAAGUGGUGUGCUGAAGAUGAUACGUAUGUUGUUUAUCGUAGUUUUGGAGCAGCGAUGCUUUAGGGUGAACCAAUUAUGAGCUGUCAACUUUGUUGUCCUCCUGUGGGUUUUAGAUUAAAUUGAGCCAGUUUUCAAUAAUAUCAGUAUCAAAAACUUUUUCAUUAACACUCCUGUUAGUGUGUUUAGUUUUAUAAUGGAGUGUUCAGAUUAUUUGCAAAGAGAGCUUUAAAAGUUAAAGACUCCUAAGUUUGCAAACUUACUGGUUAUACUGUUAAUUAGAAAGUUUGUAAGCUCACAGAAAAGUCCUUUAAAAUUUAAAAGACAAUAAACUAGAUAAUGAGUAUCGUCUCACAUGUAAAAUAGAGUAAAAAUUAGAGUUAAAAUGGUUAUAAAUGUAAUUAACUAAAAUACCGUUGUGCCAAAAAACAUGCCUUCUUAAUGCGAGUGAAUAUGUAAACCCCCUCCCCGUGUUUAUUUUCCCCAACCUUCCCUUUAGUGUCACUGAUGCCAUUUAAUUAAGGUGGUUUCUCAGUAUUGUGCUUCCUGCUUUCAAACAUGGCGUGUUGUUCAAAGCUUCUUCUUCUUCUGCUGCCGUAAUGAGCCGAGCCGAAUCCGCUGAGAGCUGCGCUUCUUCUCCUCCUGGUGACUCCACCGCCGUCUAUUCUGAACCCUCUCCCACUCCGCCCAACACUUCAGAGCAACACGCAAAGUAAAUAAGCUUUGAGGUUUUGUGUCUUUGGGGGGUUUUUUGUUACUUAAUAUGUGUAUGGGCCCAUCUGUGUGUGUUUGUGCAGUGAGAGAGACAUUAACUUGAGUUGUGUAUUUAUAGAUUAUAAACAAUAUCUAUAUUUUCUGUUAAUGAAACUGGUUCGACAUGAUAAAUCCUCAUUUCAAGGACUUCAAGAAACGAGUCCUUCAAUUGUUAAUUAACUCGACUGUUUUUUUCUUCACGCAAAUAAUACAAUCUUUACAUUUAACAAGAUGCCAUCUCUAAUCAUAUGCCAUUAUCGCUUGGUAAUUAAAUGGAGCUGCGCAGAGCAAUCCAAGCUGCACUGAUUUUAUACUUGACAUGCAUCAUUUUCACAACAACCUGACAAAAAUAUAUCUCCCCAAUUCGGCAGCUUUCAAAACCACAAAGUUUCUGGUCUCGGUUUCAACCCCAGGAUCCACCUGCAGGCUCUAAACAGGGGAUUUAUGAUAUCAUGUCAUAACUCCUUGACUUCUGCAUAGAAAUAAAACUAAGAGAGGUGAUGAGGUUAGAGCCUUUAGGUCAAACUAAAAUAUGCAGCUGCAGUGAAUAUUUUAAACUAUUGAAACUAGGACUUGUAUGACUGAACUCAUACUUAAGCUUUUUUUUGUUGCAAAUCUAGAAUAACUGUCGAUUGAUAAAAGAAUUAACACUUUCAGGAUAGUUGUGUUUCUAUGAUCAAACAUAGAAAUACUAAUCACCCUGAUAACCUUAAAUUUAACCUUAAUUUAUUUUGUUACGGUUGUUCAAAAGCACAUUUUAGAUUUCAAAGUUCCUCUUGCAAGGAAAGACCCCAACCCAUAUUACCCAAAGUGGCAUUCCUAACAACCAUCCCACAUGUGAGCCUGGAAGUAUUCACCCUUUCUUCUUUCUGUCUUCUUACUUUCUCAGCAUAAUUUCCAAAACCACUUCAUUUUUUCCUCACAAGAACAGACCCUGUAAGGGAUGCGAACCCUUCACCAUUUCACUUCAAGCAAACUUCCCAACCAUCCCACCCCAAAGGAGCCCGGCAGCACUUCCCUUUUUCAUUUCACCAUGUCAUUAUGGGAGUUCAUCAAAAGCACAUCAUAUACUAAUGUGCAAGGAUUUGAUCUCCCUCUUUGUGGUGGCCCCAGUCAGGGAUUUGAACCCAUGACCAUUUCACUUAAAUAAACCUUAACAGGCCUGGCAGUGCUUAACAUUGUAGGUCUUUUCAUUUCACCAUGUUGUUAUGGUGCUUCAAAUGCUUUCUGCAUUUCCCAGAGCUGGGACCCAGAACUUUGUGGGGAGGCCUUGUUAGAACCCAAUAUGUAACAAUGACCCAAAAUGUAGUAACUUUUUUGCCUAAAAUGUCGCAACUUGUUACAUUUUGGGUCAGCUUUUACAUUCCCGGCUUUAUUACUUUUUUUUUUUCAUGCCAUUGUUAUAUCCGACUCUAACAGGCCUCUGCCAGGAUUAAAACUUAGAACCUACUUGCUGUGACUCCAGAGUAAUAUACUGUCAUGAAGGCUUUUCUUCUAUAGGUUCAUCUAAUAUCCAGAACAUAAUGGUAACUCAAAAGUUUGGUCUGAAUUCAGAUUGAGAAGCCCCCUGCUGGGAUUCAAACCUGGAACCAACUAUCUGUGAAGUGACAGAUUUAACACAAACAUCAACGUGUUCCCCUUAACUUACUUACUCGUGAAGGUUCAUUACUUUACAGGCAAUUACGGUAAUUCAAAAACAUGACCCUUGAAGUCAAGUAUACAAGCCAUAUUGUUGUUAGAUCUCCUCAAAUCUAAAUUGCUGAUGUCGUCCUUAAUUUCUUGAGGUGCCCUUUUAAAAAAAAUCAGGGACAAAAAUGACAAUGCAAUACAAAAAUACAUGGACAUCUAUGAUCAUUGAGCAGAUCUGUAUCUGUAUGGAGCAGUAAUCUAGUAUACCAUCACACAUUCACAGGAUUCAGAUAGCUGCUGCACAUGUGUGUAUUGUGCACAGUAGGUAAGCGAAGGAUAUACACUGCAUAGAUCGAGGCACAGAGUUGUUUUGAUGAGGCUUGACUCCUGCGGUGGAUGCCAACAUUUUGUGUUUGCCAUUACGCUGGACCGGGACAUACAUGUGUAUAAUCAAUAUCCCAUUCAUUCAAUUGCACGGAUUAUUCCUUACUGAGAGAUUACUCGAACAAGGACUUACAGCCCUGCCUCGGUAAACCCUCAAAGUGCCACAGCGCUGCAGCCUCUGUGCUCCAGGAGCUCAUUUGAAAAGAGGGAUUGUUCUCAGAAUCACAGAUUUCUAUUUUUAUUUCUUUUUUUUUUGUGAAGGCUUCUUGUGAAUUACUUCUAUUGAAAAAGCAGCACGUUUUCUAAAACACAAUAUCUGUCUGAUUCUGGUAGUCGGCGGGUGAGCUCCGAGAUGACAUCCCAGCAGACGUCUCGUGUUUCAGUUACCAAGAAUUUUCUACUUGGAGAUCUUUCAGGGUUCACUGAUCGCUAAGAUAUGAUGAGAGAUUGGGAGAGAGGGAGAUGGUGGGGGGAGGGGGUGGAGAAGAUUGGGAAUUCGCAGCAGUUCAAGUUUGUGUCAGAGCCAAAGUCAAACAGUUAGGCUGCAUUUGCAAAGCGUGGUUAGAGGAGAUGUUGUUUAUUCUGCUGCGAACCAAGGCUCAGCGGGUCGUGCCAAGCGAGCAAUGUGGGAGGCUUUUUCCAGAGCGGGGUGUCGUCAUCGGUUUGUACAUCACACCCAUCCACUUGCAAUAUUAAUAAAGCCGAAAUAAAUUUUUAACGCACGUUCUCUUCAUCAUCCUCCCACCUACCUCUGUGCGAGACAAUGUGCCAGGGACAUAUACAACACGCACGCUUACCGAGGCCCACACAAGCCUCGGUAAACACUUCAUCUUCCACCUUCAGAGGCUUUAUUAAAGGAAUAAUCAUGAAAGAGCAGAGGCAAAAGUAGCAUCUCACACUUAUAACAAAUAAAAAAAUAUCUCAGCCGGUCGGUGACAGAGCUGUUGACAGCUGCAGCAGCAGCCGCGGUCAGCUGCAGCUUCGUUGUUUUCUUGUUUUUUUUUUGCAGCCUGUGUGUGUUUGUGUGAUGCUGUAAACUCGCGAGGCGCUCUCAGACACUCGCCGCGUGGUUUGAUUCUCCCCGUCGAGAAGGGUGACCUGGCAUUUCGGUGACUUUUAGAGGUGUUACCAUGCUGACAUAUUGCUCUCUCAUUUUCCCAGAGUGCCCCCCUCUCCUCCUCUACCCCCCUUCCUCACACUCCCCAUGUUGCAUGCAUCUUUUGUUGUCUGGGUUGUUUACUCCACUCCAGACUCGUCGUGCUUUUAAAAGCUCUACUUUAACGUGCCGAUGCUCUCUGCCGCUGCUCUGUUCAUUAGUACUAACAAAGCAGAUUUCUGCGAUAGUAAAAAACCUCCAAGGGAUUGUUUUACACCGAUACACUUUAAUUAAAAUGUUCAGGAGUCGCUUUUGGAGUAAAACUACAUUUAGUCUUUUUGAUGCAGACGGAUUAACUCGAGUGUGUUUUCCUACAUUUCCCAACAUGUCUUCUGACAUCUCUCAGAUUGAUUAUUAAUGUGUAUUUUGUUUCAGUCUGUACAAAUGAGUCAAAGAGGAGAUAUUUUCUUCCCCUGGUAUGAAGUUGUUUCUUUAUUUGUUCAGUUAUGUGUAAGAAAUUAAGUUCAACUCAUCCAUACCCAGUGAAAAACAAGGCGCUAGUAUUUGUCUACAUUUCCAUUUGAACGUCAUCCUUUAUUAUUGGAAUUAUUAAACUCAAUACUUUAUUAGUACUCAUUAAUACUGUUUAAUGUGCUCUAUAACUGCAUGAUGUAACUUUGGGUUUAAGGGUUAGAAAACUUUGUUGCCCCACAAGUUGCCAAAUGUUGAGCUUUGCCAGUGUCCAGAACACUCCUUCAAAAUAAGAGCACGAUAAGAAACCAAGGGCACUCACUCAACAGAAAAAUCUGAUGGGACUUUUACUUUGAAGCGAAACUCAAUCAACUCAAUCAGUUUAGUUUUAAUUACAAUCAGCUGAGGACUUUUUUAAAAUUUAGUUCAGAUCAGAGGUUCCCAAGACCCGAGAGGGGGAUGUCAUAGUUCCUCAUCUCUUGUGCUACCUGUACUGUCCUGCCUGAUUCGUACAAGGUUCUGAUGUUCCAUACUUGAUGUCGAUGCUUUAGCAACUGGGUUUCUUUUCCGGGGUGGGGUAGUUGACGUGGAGAAUGACAGAAAAGAUGUUGCAGAAGAUCCAGACAUUUAUAAAUAGCUGUCUGAGGUGCAUACUUGGAAUUAGGUGGCAAAAAUUUACGAUAAAGGAGCUGUGGCAGAAAGGGAGAGAGGAGCCAGUAGAGAGCCAGAUUCGGUGGUGGGGCUGGAUUGGCCACACUUUCAUCGGCCACUAUCACACGCCAGGCCCUGACUUGGAAUCCUCAGGGGAUGAGGAAGAGGGGAAGACCCAAGAACAGCUGGAGGCGGGACACUAAGACAGAGUUAAAGAGUUAUGGUCCUAGCUUGGGAGAGGUGGAGAGGAUUGCCCAAGACGGUGCUGGAUGGAGAAGAGUUGUCGAUGGCCUUUGCUCCAUAGGUGGGCUGAAGUAAGUAAGUAAGUAGAGGCUCCCAAAGGCGCCCAUCGGUGAACAAGGAUAUUUUCAGCCCCCAAGCGAGGUUUUGAGGAGCCGGUCCCUCUCUGAGGAGGCCACCAUCUUGCUCUCCUACGUCUCUACAAUAGCACAGAAUGGACAAACUAGAGCCAAAUCCAAACGAUCACACAUGCCAUACCAUGCAACAUGUGCGUUUUUGUGUUUAGUGUGAGCGCAGAGUAGGAAGAAGCAGAAGAGAGUGGAUACUGCCAUCCUUAUGGAGCUUUGCCUCAAGUAUGUCCAGAGUCUGUUGCACAUGAUGGAAGACUCAAUUUUUCCUUUUUGUAAAAUGUAUUUAACUCACUUUUCCAAGUAUGUAACUUUAGGUUCAAAAGGAUUUCGUCAACAAGAUUUAGACUUUUAUCACAGCGAAAUUCAAGCACCAAUCAAAAGGGGUCAUUUGGUCCAGGUAUUACAGCUCAUGAACGGGCUUCCUCUCCUCGGCCCGCUCACUUCCUGUCAUUUACAGCAGUUAGCACCUCUGCAGCAGAUAACUUUGUCGAAUUAUGUUCCAUUAGACUAAUACAGCUCCUAAUCUCUGAGUUUUUACAGAAGUUUUUUCUCUCUUAGUGCUGGAGGGUUUGGUUAAAGACACACUGAGAAGAGACAUUUAAGUGAUUUUCUCUCUGCACUUCUAAUUACUUGUCUCCCUCUAUCUCUAAAAAUAAAUUCAUAUUUCAUAAGGCAUCUUUCUCUCAGCUCACUGCCACCCUGCCAAACUGUCUGCGUGCCACCCGGUGUCAUUUUGAUCAUAGAUAUUUAGCAAAGGAAAAGCAGAGAGAAAAAAUUAUAUCUUCCAAUUAUCUAUACUGACGGUUUUUGCCGAGCUGUUGACCUCAACCUCCUUGUAUCUCAGCAAUUUAAAUUUAACCCCGGCUGUGUGUUGUACGUGCUAAUUAGAAAGCUUUUUCAAAGAGAAACUCACACCAGGAGCGCCAGAGAGCGAGAGAGAAAGAGAGAGAGAGAUAGAUGGAGAUGGAGAUAAACACUUCCACAUAAAGAAGAUGUAAUAGCUGAGAGUGUUUCAAAAUGAAUAUCUCUGAUGCUUCAACAGCUUCACGGCCAGGUGGAAAAGAGAAAGGAGAAAAGACAACGAGACCAGGGACUAGACUAUCCUUUCUUGUCAUGUUGAAGUGAUUAAAACAGGUGACUCACCUUUUUUCUUUUUUCUGACCACAUGUGUUCAUCAUCAUGUGGCAGAAUAGCAAGGUCAAGUUUAACCUUCCAACCAUCACAUGUAUUGUGAUGAAGCACCCUCAAUAGAGGAUCAGGCAAAAUAUUAACCCCACCAAAUUGUGUAGUGUAAACAGCAACAACAUUGAGUUUGUCUGCUUUCAUUCUGUGUACAUGACACAUCUGUGCUGUGCAGUACAGGCUGAGAUAACAAAGUGUCUUCUUUGAAAAAGUGAAACAACCAGUGUAACCAAAGGUCAUAAAAGAGAAUUAAAAAGUGAGGUACCAUGAUUAGCAGUUUUGCUUGUAGCCCCCCACACCGGACCUGUGAUGCUGUUUUCAACUGGACGCUAGUUUUUUAAAAAUGUUUUUAGCUGCUGGUUACCUGGUAGCUUAGUGACCAAGUGGAAGAAACCUCUGUGGAUGGAUCAAGUCGGUUAAAUCCUGAGAAAUGUUAAGAAAACAAGCCGAACUAACAGCUCAGCUCACAGCCCCCUUUUUAGAUUCUGUGUCUUUUAGAAACGUGAACGGGACAGUGGAAGAAAAGGCCCAUAAUCCUGUUAAGACUGAGUUUUUUCAUGACGUUGAUACAUGUUGAGGCAGCAGCUUGGCUUGCAGCCCCACACAAGAUCACAAGACAGUGAAUUUUGAUAAGACAAUUUUUUUUUCGAGUAUUGUUAGCUUUGAACUACGUGUCACAUUUGUUAUAACACUGAGGAAAUAAGGAACAAGCUGACAGCUCAGCUUGCAGCCUCCUCCUGCCAUCCUGUGUCUGUUUUAUAUAUAUGGAUGUGACAGUGAAUGUGAAGUCCCAUGAUCCUGUGAAGAUCAAAAAUUGUAACAAUAUUUCAAACACAUAUCGUGGUUGCAGCUUGGCUCGCAGCCCCACAUUUUUUGAGCGUUUGAGUGUUUUGCUAUGUGGGAAAUGAGACCUCUUUGGCUAACUUGUCUGUGUUUAAACCUUUGACUUUUAAGCCAAAAUAUAAGCAAAGGUCAAGACACCAGCUUGGCAAACAGCUCAGCUCACAGCCCCUGGCAUUUUAAAAUGGGUCCAAAUUAGGGUUUCAUUGGAUUUUGCAACCAGCCUCUAGUGGACAUACAAGAGGCUGCAGUUCCUGAUAGUACUGAGUUUGAUUUAAGUACAACAUUGAGGUCCAUAAACUCACCAAAGUAAUCAAAAAACAAGCUGAGGUAGAUGUGGCUCAGCUAGCAGCCUCCACUGCCAUGUUGUGUCUGUAGAAAAGCUUCAUAAAGACCUAGGCCUGGACGAUAUAGAAAAAAAGCAUAUCGAUAAAAAAUAAAUCAUAUUGAUCGAUAUCGAUAAUUAUCGAUAUAAUUAUUAUAAUUAUUUAACAUAUAUUUUAAUUGCAGCCCUGGAUGUUUUAUGCUAUUGCUUAAUGACCUACUUUUAAUAAAGAACACACAAGCACUGAAUUCAAAUUCAAACCUUUAUUCAACCACCUUUUCAUUUUACCACAACUGAAAGUUUUUUUAAAAAAGAACUAAAAAAAAAAAAAGAAAUCAACUUAAGUGGCCUGAGUGACGUCAGUAAAUACUGACAAACAUAAAGACUAAAGUGACCAGAAAAUCUGAUAAAUAAAUAUUUAAAUAGUCUUUUGAUGAAAAUAAACAAAACAAACAAAUAUAUAAAUAAACAGAAUAGCUUUAGGUGGGAAUAGCAUACUACCAGUUUUAACUGUGUGGGAAACUGCCCACAGCCUGGUGUCUGAACACUUAAAUAUUUCUCCCGGGGUCGGGAGAUUUAUUUUUUUUAAUUAUCAUGUGAUUGACUUAAUACACAAACUAAGCACGAGAAGCAGGACUUAUCCACGCCGGUGUUGUGUCGUAGAAUGCACCCCUGCCGAAUGCACCCCCUGCUAGUAGCCAUGAUCCAAAUACUCGCGUCUUUGUAAAAUAUGAGCUCAUUUGAACGUAUUUCCUCCGCACCCUUCUCACCUUUUCAACCCCUGACCCAUUUUCAUGCCUGAAGCGCUGUGUUUGAGAAAUACUUGCGGCCGGGCACUUCAUAUCGCGGGUCGAGAGUGGCUAGAAGCUGGUCGAAGCCAGGCUUUUCAACGGUAGUUAUUGGCAGUAUGUCCCUCGCUAUGGAGCAUGUUACUGCAUGGGUGAUGUCCUUAUGCCGCUCGGACGCUUUGUCGUAUUUUGGCAAGAAACAAAGUCCAGUUUGGUCUGCUUCACAUGCUUUGUGCUGGUGCUGGCAGCGGUUCCAGAGGAUUCCUCCGACGACAACGACGUGGAGCCGCGGCGCGGCCGACACAGCUCGUACUCCUGCGGGUGCGAUCGGUUUAGAUGGUAAAACAGGUUGGUUGUGUUACCAGACUUGGUUUUUACUAAUUCUCCGCAAAUUUUGCAAACGACCGCUGUUCGCUUUUUGUCAGACUUCUAAAAACCAAAACAUUGCCAUGCUGGUGAACUACUGAAACCUUUUUUCGGGACAAUGUACUCCGCUUCUCCGUGCUGUAUCAUUUUUUCUAAUACACGUGCUGUCUGUUGUGGUUUGAUAGGGGCUGGGCUUGGUGCCGUAGCGUACCUGGGUCUGCGUUUGUGAUUGGUUAGGAGGAAGUAAUGACUGUAGUAAAAGCUACAUGAUAGGCUAUGAUGAAAAAGAAAGGGAAACUGUGUUUUUCUAUCGAACUUUUUAUCGACCCGUUUUUUUUCUAUCGCACCACACGUCUAUCGAUCGAUAUAUAUUGUUAUCGAAUUAUCGUCCAGCACUAUAAAGACCCUAUUUAACGAUUUCUUCUUGGUAAACAAGGUGAGAAAAACACUACAGCCAACAUGAGGCACAUGUUAAUAAACCAUAAUAGGAGGUUGAUCACCGGCUCUAUGAUCAUUGGGAUACCCCUCAAGCUGAUGAAUUAUCAAAUUAUUUACAUUUGAUAACGGUUCGGGGAAAAAUAUUGUGACUGUAUAUUUGCCAAAUUGCAGUGAGCCCCACUUAAAGCUGGGUAAACUGUUUCUUAAAUUAAAAUGGAGGGUAACUGGCUUUAGAUCUGUUUUGGUUGAGGGCUUCUGAGGAAGCAGAUAAAGCAAGAGAGGAUUAUAAAAUGUGAAGUAAAGCAGGGCGGGGAGGGACGCUCUCUUCCUCAUCCAAAUCCAUUACAAGAGUCUGCAGAGCUGAGAAGGUCCCAUGUCCAAUUAGCUGUUUCAUCUCCAAGUGGAAAUGUGACUGUAGGGAGACGCUGCCCGGCAACAUUACCUCCUCCCCAAUAACUUACAGCUAUCAGGAAGGAGGCUGCAGGAGUGUGUGUGUGCGUGUGUGUGUCUGUGUGAAGCCUCAGUACUGCUGGUUGUCAGAUUGUCCCAUUAAUAAGCUCUGGCCUUUAUUACCACUUAGCAAGCCUUAUGUGUGUCUUUCUGCCAAGUAUGCUUCUUAUUCUGCCUCCCUCAAAGUAAAAUCAAAAUCUGCAUGUGUGUGUUUGUGUGUGCGUGUGUUUAUUUGUGUGGGUUUGUGCACCUCACACGUUCCUGUAGCCGUCAGCGUGUCAGAUUACUUUUUAAGGCGGAUUGCCGUAUACAUGACUUCGCAUUUUCACUGUCACUUUGAAGUUUUCCAAAAGCGUCUUUUUCGCAUCACCUACUGUAACACCCUGAGUGUGUGUGUGUGUAUGUAUACACGUGUGUGUCGGCGUGUUUGCAUGUAUUAUUUACUUUUAUAUAUUUAUUUUGCAGCGCGGCGUGCACUUUGUUUGCAGGGAUUACAGGCGGUGGGAGCUCAAGCUUCUUAGCCCCUCGCAGGCUUGCCACAGCUGCCUGCCACUUCUAAUGACACUUCAGACUAAGACUGGCUAAGUCCAUAGGCAGGUUUAUUAGUUUAGAGAAUGCUUGAAUGCAUACAGCCUCUUUUUGAAUGUGUGUGUGUGUAAACGUGUGUACUGUAUAUGUGUGCGAGAGUGAGCGAUUGCCUCGCUCAGGCAGCUCUGACAGGCCUGUAGAGUUUAAAUGAGAAGGAUGCCGUACACGAGGAACAUAAACGUCUGCUUUGGCAUCGACAUGUCCUGACACAAGGCGGUAACUCCAUUACCUAAUGAAGGAUGCAAAUGUAAACCUCUCCUCCCCUUCUCUCUCUCUCGCUCUCUCUCUCUCUCUCACUCUCUCUCUCUCUCUUCUCCCUGAUGACUGGAGCUAGUUUCUUAUAAUAAUGUCAUUUAAUCGUGUCUCAUUGUUUAUUUGACAAGGUCUCCCUCGGGAGCCGUUACAGCUCGCACUUUGUAUUCGCAGUGCGCGCUAGUGUGUGUGGUUUUUAUGCGCGUCCUUCGCAAAAAAAAGAGAAAGAAAAAGAAAAGUCUUUGUCUUUCACUCAAUCUGCCUUUUUUCAUUUUUGUACACAGACACAAUAAAGCAAGACAAGCAAUGCAGAUAGAGUUUAGGCAUCGUUUCUCGCUCAUUUUGUCUGCAGAAAGGCUGUAUAGUGCGACCGCCCCUGACACAGCUGCACAAUCCUUUGCAAGCCUUUGGUUCAGUAUAUUUCACACAGGACAUAAUGAGCCUGCAGAAUAACCAGAGGACGAUAUUUUAACACUUUUGAGUUUUCCUUGUUAAUUAAAAAUGACGCCAAAGUAAAUAUUUACAGUUCAGGCGCAGUGAUUCGCAUUUCAGCAACAACUUUAAAACUCAUAUACACAAUGCUCAUCAUACAACUGCUUUAAAAGUGCUGCAACUUUUCUAUACCUGCAAAGCAACACAACUUAACAACAAUUUCUUUCCUCAAAAUUUAUGUAAAAUGAGCAUCUGCAUCUUGUUCAGCUAACCAAAGAUGCAUAGGCAGGAAAACUUGUACUGUCAGUGUGCUUUUAGGCAGAAAAAAUAUAUAAAAUCAUAGUCUUUCACUCAAUCUGCCUUUUUUCAUUUUUGUACAUAGACACAAUAAAGCAAAACAAGCAAUGCAGAUAGAGCUUUGGCGUCAUUUCCUGCUCAUUUUGUCUGCAUGAAGGCUGUAAAGUGCGACCGCCCCUGACACAGCUGCAUGAUCCUUUGGUCCAGUAUAUUUCACAUGAGACAUAAUGAGCCUGCAGAAUAACCAGAGAACGAUACUUUAACACCUUUGAACCCCGAAGUUAUCCUUUUUAAUUAAAAAUGACGCCAAAGUAAGUAUUUACAGUUAAGACGCAGUGUUUUGCAUUAUUUCUAAAACACAAAUACACAAUGCUCAUCAUAAAACUGCUUUAAAAAUUCUUCUACUUUUACAAAAACUUGCAAAGCACAACUUAUUGACAAUCUCUUUUCUCAAAGUGUAUUUAAAAUGUGCAUCAUGUACCUUGUUCAGCUACCAAAGAUGCAUAUUAGUCAGACCUGGCAGGAAACUCGUACUGUUAGCGUGCUUUCAGGCAGAAAAAAAAACCUGCACACUUCCUGCUUAAAUUCACAAAACAUGCUCAUAAACAACUUCUAUGCAAAAGCCUGCAAGAUAUUAACACCAGGGAGUAAAAUGUUGGUGCUUUUAGGUGUAAAAGUCAUGUAAGAGCAUCAGUGUUUUUUAAAACGUAUAUUUUUAAAACCUUUUUCUGCUCUAAAAUAUCUGGGUAUGCAUCCGGAGCAAAUUGUUCCUGAUCUGUCUGCCUGGCUGCUUCACAACUUUAGCUUUGAUUGAAAGAGUUGAGCCAUCACUACAGCUGCAGAGACGAUCCUUAAAAAGUCCUGAAUAUUUGUGACCAAUCACACAUGGAGGAAGAUAAUUUAGUGUCUGCAAACCCGUCAGUUCUUAAACAUAUCAUUUUAAGGCUUAAACAGACCCAAAAGGCGUAUCACUGGUGCACACAACUCUCUGCAUCGACAAGAUUAUUAUGUCUAUGUAAGUUAAGGAUCAGUGAAAUUCAUGAGUUUAACAGGAAAUCUGCCAGUUUCAGGCAUCUUAUGUUGUUAAAAACAUCAUUAUUCAUGUAAAACAUACUUUGCGUGAAGCCUCAGAAACUUGUGUGGUCCUAGUGUGUGUGGUCCGCUUGUGUUUGUGCGUGUGUGUGAGCCCGCAGGGUGUAACAUCUAAGUGCAGGGAUCCCAGGGAGCGGGUUCCUAGAGGUGUAGCAGCAGUUUGAUCUUUCCAUAUUAGCCGUAUUCCCCGCUAUGCCGGCCUCAUUACUUUAGCCAGUUCAGCAACACCGAGGCUCCCACUCUGCACCGAGUCGUGUCGGCCACCUUCAACUAACACACUCCUCUCACUCCCGCAGACAACCUUCGCUUUCUUCUGUUUCCUCUUUCAUCCCUCAUUCACUCUCUGUAUCUGCCUGUGUGUCCCAGCUGUGUUUCUGACCCCGGCUUUCAUUUAGACAAGACACGGAGCGGCACAGAGGUGGAGGUGGCAUCUGCUUGCCUCUAAUAGGGAUGUGCUAAUGAUUAACAUUUACCGGGGCAGGUCCAGUCACCCCCCCACCCGACUGAAAAAUAGAAAGAAACAGAGGGAGAACAUUUGUCAGUUUGUCAAGAAUGAGAAGACACGACUACACGCUGAGGCGGGAAGUCACUGACUGUCCUUUAAGGUAGUUUUUGGAGUUUUAAACGGUCAUGAAAACAAACAGAAGUUAAAACUACAGCUUUUAUGUGACAAAAAAAGAACAUGAGGGGAUUUGACUGUUUUAUUUUGUAUUUUUUAAUGCUUACUAUGAAAAAUAUUUACAACCUCAAUUUAACAGAAUGUUGAUUAAAAACAGAUUUGGGUGAUUUCAUUUAAACACGUAUUACAUGUUUAAACUGAAAACAUGUUUUUGUUCUUGGAAAAAUAUGCAAAUUUUACAUUUAAUGCCAACAAAAUGUUUGGAAAAGUUGAAAAAAACUAAAAAUGUCUAAUUUACAAAAAAAGGUCAAUUUCUAAGAGAUUAUUUACAUGACUGGCUGAGUCAGAAGUAAGUAUGGUAAGAGGUUUGUCCUUCUGUGAGAGACUGUGUGGGCAAAGAGUUCAACAAUUUCAGAUGAAGGUUCCUGUGUGUAAAACUGCAGAGAAGUUGAAGAUAUAUCGUUCCAGUACAUAUCCUUGACAAUUUUAGAGAGUUUCCUCGGCCCCUCAAGAAACUCUGUAUUUAAAAAAACAUGGCUUUGUAGUGGAAAUCUCUGCAUGUGCUUAAAAUAUUAUACAAAAUUCAUAUGAAAACAGUUUGUAUGACAUGCUGGUUCAAUCUGAAAAAAUAAGGUUCCAGAAGUGACUCCUCUUGGCUCUGAUGGAAAAUUGUCUUCUGGUCCGGUGAAUAAAAAUCAAGGUUCCUUUUCGGAAUCAUGGACGCUGCAUCCUCCAAUCUAAACAGGAGAGGAACCACACGUAUGCACAUGUUAAAAGCUAGAGCCCCUGAUGGUAUAGAGGUUUUGGAGCAAUAUGUGCUGCGAUCUAGAUGAAAUCUUCUUGAGGGAAGACCUUCAUAUUUCAGCAAGGAGAGACAAAUGAGAGUUUCAGCAAUUCAGAAACGUGUUGCAGAAGUGCAUGUUUACUUCUUGACUGUGAGGGCGCUGUAGAACCUGUUAUUUUUUUUUUUUUUUGCUUUACUUCAGUAGAAGUACUACAUCAGAACUUGAAAUACAAGAAUCCGUACUUGACCAUGAACUAAGACUUUGUGUACUUUUGCACUUUUUGGCACAUGCUGUGUUUGCAGAACUUGGAGGAAAAAAAAAACAAAACAGGCAUUACCCACACACUUCUAAUGUGACAGCAUGUUUGUCUGAUUACAUAUUUGUUCUCGAACUCAUCAGCUCUGCAGUUUUCUUUUUAUGAGGAGUCCUUAACCCGAAUGAUUGAUUCUAAUGAGACAUUUUGAUCGGCUUCUUCACGAGCACGCACGAUUAAUUCAGAUUUGAUUAAACUUUAAUGAUGCCCAUGGGGAACUGGACUGUUGCUAUUUGCACACAGUGAGACUGAAUGUGAUUUAAUAAGAGUUGCACAAACAAAUGCCAGACCCAGACAUUGUAAAGCACUUAUGCGUGAGUAAAUUAGGACUGUUGUGUUUAUUUCAUCGCUGAUUAGCAUAACAGCUAUAUUCUUGAUCAAUCAUUUGGGAUCAACUUGGAUAACGUCAAUCAUGACAGAGGAAGGGUGCGCUUACAAAUUAACCUCUUUCUGUCCAACCGUGAAGAUAUAGCAGCGCCAUGGCACUCAGUAUGACUUUAUUUACAAUGAGACUAUAUCAUUCUGGAGUAAAAGUCCCCUGACCAAACUUCUUGGAAGGCACCAAAGAAGAAGACAUUUAUAGGGACCUGACAAAUACAAGGAGCCAUUUUGUUUGACUUUCAUUUUUAAGGUGCAGUUUUGUUAUUUGCCCAACCUGUGACCCCUGUCCUUUAGUUCUUAGUUCUUGGGAAACGUCAAAUCCAUCAAUUUACUUUCGAUGUAAGUGCUCUUGUAUACAAGACACAGUCUUUUUUGGAGGUUUGUCAAAGGAGGAAUUGUGCAAACUAUGUUCCAGCAUGGGAACGUGCAUUUUGUUCAACAAUGUGCAGUUUGUAUGCGGAUGUGUAGCUCUCGCAGUAUCAUUUGUUAUCAGCGAACUCGUAGAUACCCAUGCGGUAGUGGAGCACCAUUGUCUUAAAUUGAGGAUUCUGUCCAACUGAGCCAGCAACAGCAUAUUGCUGUUUUUUUUCCCCCUAAAUUCAUGAUUAUGACCUGUGAUGUGAAAAAAAGCAUUAAAAGUGAUGCUAAAUUGGUUUGUUUUGCUUUGUUUCCAGCAUUCUUUGAAUUCUAAGAGCCCCACCUCUAAAACAGAAAUAGCUCUGUAGUGGAAAUCACUGCAUAGGCUCAGAAUUGCUCCCAAAAAUGAUUGUCUGUGAACACAGUUUGUUGCUGUUUUCAUAAAUGCAGGUUUAAAGUGUACUUUUGUAUAAACAUGAUACAGAAAUGACACGAAGAUGAAGCUGGACUGAGGUGAAGUGGAAAGCUUUCAUGUGGUUUGAUGAAUCAAAAUCUGACAUUCUCCACAACCCCUUCUUGUACCUUUCUUUCUGAAUCGCAUUUUGUUCAGCAAUGUGCAGUUUAUAUGCGGAUGUGUAGCUCUCCCGGUAUAAUUAUGACUCUUGGUUGGAAAUUCUUGGUCAAACCCAGAAAUGGAUCGCAGUUCUUGCUCGGUAAAUGAUUUGAAUGAUUGACUUUCUGUCCAUUAACACCAGAGGGAGUUUCUUUUUUCCCAGAGACUUCUUUUAAAGACGUCCAUAUAUUAGCUCAAAUCAAAUAAUAUUGACAUCCUCAUUCUAAAUAGGAUUGUGUAAAACUCCUUCUCAUUUCCUCUGACAAUAUGCCAAUUUAUCCACCUUCGAAUCACUCCGUCCGUCCAAUCUAUCCGUCAAUUUAUGUCUCUCCUGCUCACGUACAUGUCAGUUCUUUCGUUUAGCUGUCAAUCACCCAGCCAGUCGACGCAUCCACCUCAGCACCCGUCCAUCCAUCAACCCUCCUUUUGUCUAUACAUCAUUCUCCCCCCCACCUCAGCUGUAUGGUUGUAUUAAUCCCACAUGGACUCCUCUGUCAGGCCCAAUCCAGGAGCUAAUGCAUGUGACUAAUGAGCACUAAUGCUUAUCCGCUGAUACAACAAAUGGCAUCAGAUAGCUGGAGUAUUCUAAUAGCGGGAUGUGAUUAUACGGAUGAGUGGCUAUCAGAGCCUCUGUCACUUCUCUAUUCUCCCUCUUCUUCCUAUCAGGCGGGGGGAGAAGUAGGGUUUCCAUUUUGUUCCGUUUUAUUACCUCUAGCCCGUCGUUUUAAGCAGCAGACCGCGGAUGACAGAAAAGACGCUUCUUUGGCCAAGAAAAAAAAGUGGACAGACAGAAGAGGAGAUUUCAGGAAAAGUUGAAUAUAAACUCUUCCUGGAUGUGAGGUGGAGACAGUGUGGAGGAAGGAGAGGAAAAAGGAGACAGAGUAAUUGAAAUAUGAGAGCGCCACUGCAGCAGCACUGAGCCCAUGUGUCCAUCAGCGGCUGCCUCACGGCGGGGAGGAGAGUGCUACGUGUGUGUUUGUGUGUUAGCCGCACCGGCGGAGAGAGGAGAGGCCACAUGCCCCGGUUGUUCCAGUGUGAGAGCAAGAUUGACAGCAGAGGUAGGGGUGCACUUGGUGCUCUGCCAGGCGGCGUACACACAGGAACACACACACAGACACACUCGCUGCCUGGCUCUCCAUAACUUGUGGCAAGUGCUUAUGUGUGACAGGUUGUCGGGGAAACAUUUCCUGUGUUAGGUUUAUGCACUGCGAUAAGGUCGGCCGAGUAAAAGACCUUCAGUAUUGAGUGUAAGCCUCUGGGCGGCUGCAGAGGAAAAAGGCACAGCUGGACUUGUAUUUUUAUGCCAAUAUAGAUGCUGAGAGGGAGCGAAAUCUCGGCCCGAGCCGGACCUGGCCUGAUUCUAUCAGGCCUGAAGCUUGGCAGAAGAUGGACAGCUGACAUGCUUGUUUUUUUUUGCCUGAAACUGGCCUGAAUCUGCGCUAUGAAGUCCAAACAUGUCUUCUCCCGGCACACACACAUUGCUAACUCUGCAGUGGCAACUACACAGAUGUGAGGAUGCUGUUUGUGCUUUUUCACCACUGACCCUCAGUACAGGAGCACCACAGGGCAGUGUCCUUAGCUCCCUCCUGCGUGACUCAGCAGUGGUGGGACUGAUCUCCAGUAGGGAGGAGAUAGUCCAGGAUGUGACAACUUCAGAACAACAGAACUGAGAUACUGUAUUUUCAUGCACUGUGAAGCAGUGAUUUAGUUAAGCAUUGAUUGUUUGUUUGUGUGUUUGUUUUUUUUGCUAGUGUGUGCUCUGGGCCCGGGCUGCCUUACAUGAAUGAACUUCUAGUUUAGACAUUACAGUCAGGCAGUCUUGUAGACUGCUCAGGAGUCCUGUUACCUGGCCAAUCAGGUAGUGACACAGUGUACCGUAAUGCUCCGAAUAUCCAUUGAGCGGAGCGGCUUCUUUGCUUACCAAAGUCGUACUUAUAUAUUUUGACAGAUUUUUGAGCGCACUGUACCACAUAAAAUCAGUUGGUAAGCACAACAAGUAAUCAUACAUAAGGCACACUGUCAAUUUUUGAGAAAAUUUAAGGAUUUUAAGUGCACCGUUUACUCUGAAAAAUACGGUAAUCACCGCUCAUUGAUUGUCUUCAAGACAAAGAAGCUCAUUAUGGAGCACAAGUAAAGGAGAAGGACUAAUCAACCCAGGUCUAUGUUCUGAGCAUCAUUUCAGGAAGAGAACUAUUUGUCCAUCUUUUAACUGUUAACUAUGGUACUUUAACUAAACCACAGAAUAAACCCUCUGAGGGUGAGUGUGUUGAAUCAGUUUUUCAACACUUUUGUCUUUCGUUGUUUUGUUUCUUUCCAUCUAUGACCAAUAAAAAGCAAUGAAGCUAGCCUGGCUGGGCCAUCUAGUUGCGUGAAUCACUUGCCGUUGCUUCCCUAAGGAACGGCAAGUGAUUCACGCAACUGGAUGGCCCAGCCAGGCUACAAUGACGCCGCUCUUGCUCCAUCAUGGAGAUAAAGGCAGAUAAAAGCACCAUAACUAGCAUGAAUGAAACAGAGAUGGUGCACUUUUGAGGCAUUUUCUGCACAUCAGUGCAAGGCUUGCAGAUGCCUCCUCUGCAGGGAAGCAGUGAAGUCUGGCAGUGCUGAGGCCAAUCAGUCAUGGUGAACAUAUGCCAGCUGAGUGUUUAUAAUCAUAGGCCUCAUCUCCAUGCCCGUCAGGUCUUCCGUGGCCCUGAUCACAGGAUCCCUGCUAUGGGGGUGAGGCCUAGAGGCCACGCUUAAAGACCAAAAUCCUUUACAGGAUCCGGUAAUUAGCCAGCACAGUUCUGCAGCCAUGCUCUUUGCUUUGAUCCGCACACUGAUCAAUGGCAACAUCGCAGUGGCUUGAUAACUAAUUACUACCUCAAUAUGUGUGCGUGCUUUGAACACACUGCUUCCCACAUCCUUUUAAUAUGUUUUUUUUUUUCCUCCAUAAACCUCAUGGACACAGCUUUUAGUGUUAAAUCCUGCCCCAAAAUAAACUCGACAAUGUUCACUGCUUUCAUGAAGAAACCAUACAAGUGAGCAUGUCAGAUUUAUCCUGUGAAAUCUACCAUCGCUCCUGCAGUGUUCACACUCAACAAUCGUCUCAUGAUUUGAUAUGAACAGAGUUCGCAGCCUUUUCUUGGAGAUAAUUCAAACACUGUUGGGAGAAUAUCUUCAUCUACACAUAAGCUACAUUGAUACAGGAGGGCAGUGUUGUCCUGCCAUUACCAGAUACAAGUAUCUGGUGAGAAUUGCAUUGACUCUGCUGUAUAUGGUUUAACUCUUUCAUGGCCAACUGUCUAAUGCAAUGGACAAAACACUAACUUCAACUUCAAUUCUCUCUAAAUUCACCUCCAAAAUACUCCAUCUGUCUUUAGGUACCCCUCGUGUUUUUUUUAGGUUUUGAAAUCCGUUAUCUGGUCUUAUGCUGCUUUCCAGAUAUACUCGGAAGCCGGAAUUUCUGAGCUUCGAGUUGGAAAAUUCAUCUGGAACACCCCCCUGAAGUUGGAUUUCCAACUUGUAAAGUGGGACAAUCCUCGCCAACCCUGACUUGACGACAACAUCAUGAUCCCAGAUGGC